AUGUUACUGCCGUGGUGAAAGUUGCAGUAAGGGCAGCAACUGAUCCAGUUUUCCCUCUCGGCAUCGUGGAUGUUUAUGAAAUACUGUGUUAUAACCAGCAGCAAAGAGCAACAUAGAUUUGUUGAUAUCGAGAGUUCAUUUGUUUCUUCACCAAUAUAGAGUUCAUUUGUUUUCUUCACCGAUAUAGAGUUCAUCAUCAAUAUCAAGAUUUCAUCUGUUUUCUUCUUCUCUAUAAGUUCUCAAAAUGUUAGCUGUUGGAGUUGGACUCUCAAAAUGUUAGCUGUUGGAGUUGGACUCGAAGCAUUUUGUGAACUGGAGACUCACAAAAAAGUUCCAUUAACAUGUUUGAUGAAAUAAAAAUACAUGAUAAGAACCAGCUCAUACCCUGUAUGUCUCCUGAUCAAAAGAGUUUAUGGAGGUCUCAUAAUUUAAAUCUUUAAAGCUAAAUUAUUUUUUUUGAAGGUAUAAAUAUAAUUUUACAAAUUCUCAAAUAAACCUUUAUAUGUAUAACUUAUAUAUUCAUACAAUAAAUUUCCAUAUGUAAAAGCUAUAAAAUAAGUGAACAUUCAAUAUAUAUAUAUAUAUAUAUAUAUAUAUGUUUUGAAUUACUCAGAUGACGAUGUGUCUUGAAAACAAAAUCUUGUGAAGGAAGCCGCAACUAAAAUAAAUGAUUGGCAAAUUCGAACCUAAUGAUUGCCUGUCAACAAAAAGCCCGGUGCUUUCUGUUAGUAAAACCUAAAAACAUUAAUGAAACAAUAUUACCUUAUUGACUGAUUUUUCUAGCUGAGCAAUUGACGUCAAAUAGUUCAAAUGAUUUUUCUAGAUGAUGUCGGAACGAAGCCCUCAAGAGUUUAGGGGAUCUAUGCUACAAGCUUGAAUAUUCAAUAAUAAUCACAAAUACUUUGAUUUAGUCAAGGGUAGACGAUGGCGAAAUAACCAAUAAGACAAGGGAUAUUUAUCGCUGACCAGAACAAGGCGAAUUCCGACAGAUCUGAGGGCAACUAAUGUGUCAUACGUGACCAAUACGUCCAAGUGCCUCUGUCUUACAUGCAACGUGAACAUGUGCCGGCGACAUUGACUGUGAUGCAAAGCUCUUGCCAUUCUCUUCUUCCAGCUCUUAAUUUGGACUGACACCUUCUUAAAUAAUUCUUCCAGCUCUUUCCCUAAUUUUAGUACUCCCCAUUUGUGUUUUGGACAUCUUUUAUUUAUUCUUAAAAAGGGAGACAUGAUUUCUAAAAAGGGGAAUUAGUGAAAGGAGUAAUCUGCUAGGAUAAAGUAUUUAGUUUCAAUUGUGUAACCAUUUAGUAAGUACUGUUUGUUUUUGUGCUAGAACAUUCCUUUCAAAGUAUUUUUUAAUUUUUGUUUUUCUUUUGAAAAAGUGUUAAAUUAAUGGUUUUUAGGUGUUUUUAAUAUGCCAAUGUUAAAAAUAAAAAAAAUAUCAUUUUGAUAUAUUUUAAAUUGAAAAAUAUCAUCCAUCACAAUAUUAAAUCUACACUUACUUCUACUUCCUUUAAGUUUAUAUACACAUCUUAUAAGAUACUGGUGUACACUUGGUGAAUUGUUUUUUUUUUUUUUUGGAUAAAGGUAUUUUAAAUUAGUUUAUGCAUUAAUUGAAAUUAAAUUUUUUUUGGACAAUAUUCAAAAUACACAUCUCACAUUUACUUGAUAUAUUCAUAAGAAUUUAGCCAAUUCCUCUUAAUGUUAGCCCAAUGUUUAAAUUCAGAAAAUCAAUGUUAAAUGGAACAAUUUUUCUUAACCAUCAAUGUUAAAUGUCUCCAAUUUAUUAAUAUGAUUUGAUUGAAACGAUAAAAUCAUGCAAUUUCCUAGUAAUUACAAUCACUAAUCUUCUCCUCGAGAACUGGUCCAAGCUCUUCUCCUUCAAGGCUUUAGUUUCACCUUAUAAAUAACACAUUCUUCCUUCCAAGCUUAAACCAAGAAAACUAGCUAGAAUCAGCUCAACCAUAGGUGGACAACAAGAUGAUCAUGAAAAAAUACUCUUUAAAUCCUGUUCUAUCUUUCUUUUUCUUCCUUUCUUUGAUGAUUUUGUUCUCAGAAAUGGGGGUGGCCCAGAACACAACAUCUUCAAUCCCAGUGAAUGUAGGAGUGGUUCUUGACUUGGCUUCUUUGGAGGCCAAUAUUGCUUUGAGCUGCAUCAACAUGGCCCUUUCAGACUUCUAUGCCUCUCAUGGUGACUACAAAACUAGACUGGUCCUCAACACCAGGGACUCAAAGAAAGAUGUUAUUGGUGCAGCUGCUGCAGGUUCCCUCUCUGCCCCUUCUCUUGGUUCUCAUCUCUUUUCUCCAAUUAUGAAUCAUUGCUCACCAUUUCUUACUGCUAAUUAUUAACCUCCUCAUGCAACAUUUUAACAGUAGAGAUUUUUACAUUCUGUAUUAAUUAUCUGAUGAGGUUCUCGGCCUGCAAAUCUCUAGUUUGUUCAUAGAAAUGCGCGCAGGUCCAUCGACAUGAUAUGAGAAUAUAUAUACCGUUCCAUGCUUGCUAUAUUUUUCUUUUCAAGCUAAGGGUAUUCUCAGAAAAACCUGCACAUAUCUAGACAAACUCUCUUUCUGAUCGUGUUUACUUAAGCCAUUCACGCUCCAACCGGUUUAUAUAACCAUUCUAGUAACUUAAAUUUUUUAAUUAAGAUGAUUAUUUGAUAUUUACUAGGAAUUUCUUCCUCAACCUCUCAUUGUACUGAACCCAAAAUGACAAAGGUGGGUCAAAACACACAAAAGUCAUUAUAAACUGUGGCCAUCUUCCUUUCCAAAUUUGCGCCCCCCCCCCCCCCCCCCGCGUAUAAAUUUGCGCGUUCUUACUUUCCAAAUUUGCGGCCUCCCUGUCAUCUAUCGUGAGCUGGACACCCCCCCUGUAUCAAUAACAUACGAAACAUAAAAAUUUUAAUGAGCAAAAAGAGUGAACAUUAAAUUGUAUAUAAUAGUUAUUUUUUCAAAAGAUUUAUAAAAUAUUUUAAAAAGUUAAGAAAACCUAAAUCCCCUGUAAAACAAUUUAAAAUCUAAAAACAUUAAGAAAAUUAAAAUAUAAUCUUAAAAACAAAAUUGUUUGGGAAUAUCUAAUAGUCCAAUAAGCAAGACAUGAGAACAAUUUAAACUUGAUUAAAAGGUUGCAUCAACAUGUGCAUGCUCUUAGUAGCUUAUCUGUACUUGAUGCCUAAUCACUUUUGAAUUAUUAAUAAUUUAGAAUUGAGCUCAUUGAGUACUUGAUGGCUUCUCAGCCACCUUCUUAUAUGUAAUUAACAGCCUGAGAUGUACUUCUUAAAAUAAAAUAUGAACAUGAUAAGUUUGGCACUGCCUAUUUUAAUUGUUUAGGACGGCUACGCCGAUCAUUGCAUUAUACUUGAAUCAUCAUUCAAUUAUGAUAAUCAUGUGGUUACCAUGUCAAUCUAUAAAUUAUUUUUGUUGAUAUAGAAGCACUAGUUCUUGCAUAAUACAUGUACACUCACCAGUUAAUUAGCUAGUUUUCCCUCAAGUUAAAACAAAAGUUCAUGCUCUGCUUAAAAAGUUUGGAUUGAUAGUGAAAGAAAUACAGAGCAUGGAUUGCUAGACAAAAGCAUGUUAAUUUUCUGCUGUCAUGCCGUUUCUUAAUUUAUAAGGUAGUGUUUAGUUACUGUUGGAAAACAGAAAAGACAAGUAAAGAUAAAAAGAACAUUUUUUCUUAUUUUUUUUAAAUAAUAAAAAUUCACUAUAAAAUUGUUCAAAAUUAAAGACGUAUUUAUUUCAUGCAUAAGUCCCUUCAGUAUUAGAGCAUUAACCAAAUCCAACAUAAGGUGUAGAGCAAUUAAAAGAGAGGAGCUCACAGAUCAUAAAACGUGACUGCAGAAUGAUCAUCCUAUAAGAAACUGUGAUCCUUUGCUUGAUCGUUCUCUGCUGCAGAAGUCUUUAAUUUUUCUUUUCUCCUUUCGAAAUGCAGCCCUGGACUUGAUAAAAAAUGUGGAAGUGCAAGCAAUCUUAGGGCCAACAACAUCAAUGCAAGCCAAUUUUGUUAUUGACCUUGGAGAAAAAGCUCAGGUGCCAAUUAUAUCUUUUUCUGCAACAAGUCCUUCUCUUACUUCCAUCAGGAGUUCAUAUUUCUUGCGAGCAACACAAAAUGAUUCAGCUCAAGUGAAUGCCAUAAGUGCUAUAGUUCAAGCCUUUGGAUGGAGAGAAGCGGUGCCCAUCUACAUUGACAAUGAAUAUGGAGAGGGAAUCAUACCUUAUUUAAUUGAUGCUCUGCAAGAAGUUGAUGCUCGAGUACCCUACCGGAGUGUCAUUUCUCCAUCGGCCACUGAUGAUCAAAUUGUUGAGGAGCUUUAUAGGUUGAUGACAAUGCAAACUAGAGUUUUCAUUGUGCAUAUGUAUCCCUCUCUAGGCACUCGGCUUUUCACCAAAGCAAAAGAGAUUGGAAUGAUGAGUGAAGGCUAUGUCUGGAUCAUGACUGACGGUCUGAGUGUUGAUUUCUUGAGUUCACCAAAUCAUUCUGUCACCGAUACUAUCCAAGGAGUAUUGGGUAUUAAACCUUAUGUUCCAAGAACAAAAGAGCUUGAAUAUUUUCGAGCUCAGUGGAAAAGGAAAUUCCUACGAGAUAAUCCAAAUAAAAUUGAUGCUGAGUUGAACAUUUAUGGACUACUGGCCUAUGAUGCCGCUACAGCAUUGGCCUUGGCAGUUGAGAAAGCCGGCACUACAAAUUUUGGCUUCCAAAAGGCAAAUGUUUCUAGCAACUCAUCAACAGAUCUUGCAACUCUUGGCAUCUCUUUAAAUGGUCCGAACAUUCUGCGAGCUUUAUCGACCACUAGUUUCAAAGGCCUUACAGGAGAUUACCUUUUUGUUGAUGGGCAGUUGCAAUCACCAGCUUUUCAGAUAGUUAAUGUGAACGGAAAUGGAGGAAGAGGGAUUGGAUUUUGGACGCCAACAGAAGGACUUGUGAAGAAAAUGAAUCCGAGAAUAAACAAACGUAUGAAUUCAACUUCUACUUCCAGAGUUUCAACUGUAAUUUUUCCUGGGGAUACAACUGCGGUUCCCAAGGGUUGGGAGAUUCCCACAAACGAGAAGAAGUUGAAAAUAGGAGUGCCUCUGAAGGCUGGCUUCAGUGAGUUAGUAGCUGUCACAAAAGAUCCUGGUUCCAACACCACAACAUUCACCGGAUUCUGCAUAGAUGUUUUUGAUGCUGUAGUCAAAGCAUUGCCUUAUGCUUUGCCUUAUGAGUACACCCCCUUUGCCAACUCUGAUGGCGAACCUGCUGGAACUUACAACGAUCUGGCCUAUCAAGUGUACUUGAAGGUAAGACUUGCUCUCUCCUUUUCUGUUCUUGUAACUAUAUCAGUUUGAAUAUCAUUCACAUUGAAGUAUUUUUUGUUUAUUGCCAACAGAAUUAUGAUGCCGUGGUUGGAGACAUAACUAUUGUCUACAACAGGUCCUUGUACAUCGACUAUACCCUGCCUUUCACAGAAAGUGGUGUCUCCAUGAUUGUUCCGAUUGUAGACAACAACAGCAAAAAUGCUUGGGUCUUCAUGAAACCUUUAACAUGGGACCUUUGGGUGACCAGUUUUUUGUUCUUUGUUUUCAUUGGAUUUGUGGUCUGGGUUCUUGAGCACAGAAUAAAUGAUGAUUUUCGAGGGUCAGCUUCAGAUCAAGCUGGCACUAGUUUCUGGUUUUCCUUCUCAACUAUGGUUUUUGCACAACGUAAUCUCCCUUCCCUUGUGAAUUUUACCUCUACUGUUGUACUAGCACUCCAUAUAUAUAAACACCAAAUUGACUUUAUGUUUAUAUUUACAGGGGAGAAAGUGGUUAGCAACUUGUCUAGGGCGGUGAUAAUCAUCUGGUGUUUUGUUGUGUUGAUCCUCACGCAGAGUUACACCGCCAGUUUAGCAAGCCUACUUACCGUCGAGCAGCUGCAGCCUACAGUUACUGAUGUGAGGGAGCUCAUUAAGAAAGGGGAGUAUGUGGGCUACCAGAAGGGUUCUUUUGUUCUAGGACUCUUGUUAGACUUGGGGUUCGACAAGUCCAAGCUCAUGGUGUAUAGUUCUGCAGAAGAAUGCCACCAUCUUUUCUCCAAAGGAAGUGGAAAUGGUGGUAUUGCCGCAGCUUUCGACGAACUGGCAUUUAUAAAGCUCAUUUUGUCAAGAUAUUGCUCCAAAUAUACCAUGAUUGAUCCUAAAUUUAAAACCGGCGGUUUUGGCUUUGUAAGCUCACUUUCCUAUCUUGUUAUUUCCAUUUACUCUGUGGCUAAUAAGUGCAUAGUUUCUCAUGUAUCCUUUCUUUUUGUAACUUCAGGUCUUCCCUAAAGGUUCUCCUCUAGUGGCUGAUAUAUCGAGGGCAAUUUUAAAUGUGACCGAGGGAGAUAAAAUGAAGCAAAUAGAGGGUGCAUGGUUUGGCAAAAAAAGCACUUGUCCAGAUUCCAGCCCCUCAAUUUCAUCUAAUAGCCUUAGUCUCAAGAGUUUCUGGGGGUUAUUUUUAAUUGCAGGACUAGCUGCAUUGUUAGCUCUCAUUAUCUUCGUAGUCAUGUUUGUUUACCGAGAAAGAAACGUCUUGAGGUCCUCUGAUUCCACAGCUUCAAUAUGGAGUAGAAUUGAAAACUUCUUUAGAAUUUUCAUUCAAAGGGACUCGACAUCCAGUACUUUCAGACAAAGUGAUCUGAAAGAUAGAAAUGGCAUCAGUCUGCCACCUAUGUGUGCGCCAAGCCCAUCAGAUUAUUCAGUGCACACGGAAUAUCCUGCCAAUCGAUCUUCUGCAAGCUAUGAUUCUAGUCCAAAUAGGGAAGCACCUCAAGAGGUAGUAUAGAUAUCGAUCAGCUUACCAACCGAAAUCAGGAGAGACCGACAGCUUUGGAAAUAGACCAUGAAAAUAAUUGACUUUUAGGUUAUUAUUUGACACUUCUGACACCAGUAGUCAUUAGCAUUGUAAAGAAAUGGAAUUACUGUAUUAAAAAUACAUGUAAGUGAGAUUAUUUUACUAAGAUUUAAGUAGGAUUAAACUGGGUUUCAGAAAUUGAGUUACUUUAUAUUUCUUGCCUUCUGUUUUUCUCUCUGAGUUGUGUUACUGAGGAGCAUUUGGCAUUACCUUCUGUACCUUCAUAUUUGUGAUAGACUUCUUGCCUUUUCUUACAAGUCCUAACUUAACAAGAACCCAGAGAUUUGCGUAGUGUUGAAGACUGCUUCAGGAAUCCAGGAGUCCUGUUUUUUCUAUUCUAUUAUCAUCAAAUAAAUAUUGAGCUAGUCUAUAGGAACAAAUUAGUUAGUUAAGAUAUUAUUUUCUGAUUUGAUGCUUUAUUAGAGCAUUUCGGUUGAUUGUUCUUCCUAUAAAUGUAAUGAAGUUUUAAUGAAUAAAAUAGCAACUCAAGUCUGUACUACAAUAGCAGAUUAUUAUCAUAAAAUUCUCUCCUGUUUUCUUUUCUUUUCUUCCUUCUAUAAUCAUUAAUUGAUGUUAGAGCAAUUUGUAUUCAGGGGCAUAUUAACUGCAACAAAACACCUCUGCAGUAGCAGGAGGAGAUAGCAGCAGCACCAACACAGGAUCCUUACCCUCAUCAACAACUGCAGCAGCAGCAGGAGACAGCAACUGCAGCAGCACAUGAUACUCACCCUCGUUAGCAACCAAUCUGAAUUAACACCUCCAACGGCUACUAUUCAGAAUGGUAAUUAACCAUACAUGGAAAUCAUAGCUGUGGCAGAUCAAAGAUAAAUAAUAAGGAAUCAACAGCUACCUCAACCAACGGCUACUUCUCUUAGAAGGAAACUACAGCUAUGGCAGACCUCUUAGAAGGAAACUACAGCUACCUCAUAUCAGAAACAAAUCAAUAUAUAUAAAAAAGGAAUACUGUAUUCAUAGAAAGAAAUAUGUGAUAAAAAGGCAAUAGUUAAUUACUACUCUAUAAAUAGAGAACAUCCUGUACAAAUUUAAGACAGUGCUCACGUUUGUAUUCUUGACACAGUAAUUGCAGUAAAUCCAUAUUCUUCAUCUACUGCGUUCCCCUGUUCAGUGUUUUUCUUUGGGCCUACAUUAAAAACUGAAGCAAGCUUCUCUCAUAUAACCCCUCUUGUUUUUUAUGAGGAGAAUUAUCUACUUUUAGCAGUGAAAAUGAAAACUUAUUUGGAGGCAUUAGAUCUAUGAGAACAACAUUUUGAUGUUACUCCAUUACCGAAUAACCCAACCAUGACUUAGAUCAAAAGCCACAAAGAAAGAAGAACCAAAGCUUAUCAUAUAAUCAUCAACUCUAUUAUACCAGGCUUUAGGUGUUUGCUUUAAACCAUAAAGAGCUUUCUUCAGCAAAUAAUCUUCUUCUCCCUAAACCACAAAUCUAGCUGGUUGUUGAACAUAAAUCUAGAAAGAAAAAUAAAAAGAUCAAAAGCAAAAGUGUGCUUGUUUGUUGGUGUUUCAACAACCAUUUUCACAAAAAUCAUGUCUCUCAAAUCAGCAAAGGAUGUCUGGGACUAUCUGAAGGACAAAUAUGUAUGAGAUGAAAGGAUACAUGACAUGCAAAUGCUGAAUUUAAUAAGAGAAUUUGAGCUACAAAGAAUGAAAGAAUCUAAGACUAUCAAGGAGUACUCAAAUAAAUUGCUUACUAUAGUUAACAAGGUUAAAUUACUUGGUACUACAUCCAUAGACUCCAAAAUUGUUGAGAAAAUACUGGUUUUAGUGCCUGAAAGAUAUGAAGAAUCAAUCACAACUUUGGAGAAUAUAAAAGAUCUAUUUAAAAUUACAAUGACAGAACUUUUAAAUGUUUUGAAUGUCCUGCAAGCUCAAGAACAACGGAGGCUUAUGAGGCCAGAUCGUUAUGUAGAAGGAGCUUUACCAACCACGCAUCAAGAUUCUGAAAAGGAUAAGAACAAAUUCUUCAAGAAAAAUCAGGCUUCAAGCAAUAAAAUUAAUGCUAAUCAGUUUCAAAACAAUGGAAGAUCUUUGAAAAAGGGUUAUUCACCAUGUCAAUAUUGUGAUAAGACAGAUCAUUCACCAUUCAAGUGCUGGAAAAGACUAGAUGCAAGGUGCAACAAGUGCAAUCAACUUGUGCAUGUAGUUGUCAUUUCCAAAACUAAACCUAAAAAACAAGAGGCAAAUACUGAAGUUGUUGACCAAGAUGAUGAAGUUUAAAUGUUUUUAGCUACUUGUUUUUCAACUAGAGAUUCCUCAAAUUAUUAGCUCAUUGACAUGAUUGCACAAAUCACGUGACUUUUGAUAAGAACCUUUUUCGUACACUGCAACCUACAAGAAUUUCAAAGUAUAUAGCAACAAAGGGAAAAAGAACCAUUGCAAAAUAAGUUGCCUGUUAGAGAGUAGGUGGUUCCAGUUCUACAUGUUUUUAUUUGGAGGGUUGAACUGAUUUUAAUGGAUUUGAUUUGAUAGUUGGCUGCUCAUUUGUUGUAGGUGUAAAAAGAUUUGUUUACAUCUCUGCUGCUGACUUUGGCUUGGUCAAUUACUUGCUACAAGGUUAUUAUGAGGGAAAGGUACUAAUUUUCAUUACUGUUUAUUUCAAGUGUUGUAUCUAGAAUCAUGUCACAAUAUUGCUAAUGGCUGGCAUGGCACAUCGUCAUCUUCAUCUUCAUUUUUCUGGAAACAAGGACUGUUUUCUAAAGCUUUAUAAAAACUAGUUUGUAUUAUAUGUAGAUACAAUUUGAUUUUUAUAAUACGUUGUUUGAUAUGAAAUAGUUAUAUCACAAGAAGAAUCAACACUUUCAAGUGUGCCUUUAUAUUUACUUUUCCCUUUUCUUAUCAUUCUUACCUCAUGUAAAUUUUUUACUUGUGGUUUGUUUGAAGUAGAAGGCUGCUGAAACAGAGUUGUUGACCAAGUUUGCAUAUGGAGGUAAUUUUUUUCUUUCCAUUAUUGUAAUCUGUACCUUUUAUAUAUCUGUCAUUCAUUUUAUUUUUUUAGCAACUGAAAUCUGAGAAAGCUGUCCUAAAACUUUUGAAUUUGGAAAACUGUAAAAUUUCCUUCAUGUAAAAAGCUAUUAUGAUAUAUUAGUUUCAUCCUUUAUUUCUUAGUACUCUUUUCACUGCAUUUAAUCGUCAAAUCUUGCAGUUUAGAAUGCUAGUGCAUGUAUUGGUUAGUAUCAUGGAUCAUAAAUGUGUUUUUUUUUUUGUAGCUGACAACGUAUUGCUAUCUUAUUUUAAUUAUGGAUUAUAGUAACAAUAAAUCUGAUGAAAUAUGUUUUGUUUCCUUGUUUAUGAGUGGUUCUCCAGCCUGAGUUUAUUUAUGGAACUCGCAAUGUUAGAAGUGUGAAGUUACCUCUUGGUGUAAUGGGUUCUCCGUUGGAGAUGGUAAGUUCUUGUGCAUCCUUGUACAUUUACCUAGAUUACUAGGUUAUCCCAAACAACACUUGAAUGACGUACAUCCAAUCCUGAAGCUUUUGGCAGAUUUAGGUUAGCCAAUCAAAGCCAUUGCCUCUGCAAUCCCCCCCCGUGAUGACUUUUCAAUUUCUCAAUAUUUGUGGUCCUUGCAAUUCAUUCAUAGUUUUAGUCCUUCAGCGCUUGAGCAGUCUAGUUUAACUCUUUAAGGGGGUAAAUGGAGAUCACAACUUGUCUUUUAGGACCAUGCUAUGAUUCUGCUCACCAGAAAUCAAGUUUUGAGGAGUGUUCUGUUGCCGUGUCAUCAUUUACAUGGGAGAAAUGCUUGAAAUGCGACGAGGAGGAUUCACUCAUAUCAUAUUUAAUCUAGUAAUUUGGAGGUUCAUUGUAAUUUAUUAAUGGCAAUCCCACUGCAGGUUCUCCAACAUGCAAAACCACUUAAACAGCUUCCCCUCGUUGGACCCUUGUUCAUGUUAGAAAUAUUUAGUUCUGGAAACUAAAGUUAAGUAUAGGAGAAACAGAUUCAAGAUAGCAGAGUUGAGUAGAAAGAUCAAUAAUAUUCAUUAAUUUCGAAUGCCUAUAUAAGGCUUACAUGGAACUUGGAAUGGAUUGAAACUCUCAACAAACUUGAGAGAUUAUUGGAAUUGAAAAUAACAAACUACAGCAGAAUGUUACUGCUGCAAAUCCUGAAGAAUCAAAAACAAUAAUAUAAAAUUCAAAUAACAUAAUUGCACUUAACUCUAUCUUACUCAAGGCAUAAUCUUAUAAUUCUAACACUCCUCCUUGAGACUUGCCUUGGACAAACCAAGUUUCAUCCUUAAAAAUUCCAGUCUUGAUCUAGGAAGAGCUUUAGUCAUUAAAUCAGCAAGUUGAACAUCUGUUGGACAAUAGUGUAGCUUUAUAAGUAGAUUCUUCUCAACUUCUCUUAUAGAAUGAAAUUUCACAUUGAUGUGCUUGGUUCUGCCGUGUUGAACCAGAUUUAGAGCAAUAUCAAUAGCAGAUUUGUUGUCAUAAUAAAGCUCAGCUGGUGAGCUUUGUUCUUGACCCAAAUCACCAAGCAACUUGUUCAACCAAAUUGCUUGAUUUACAGCAGCUGCCAUGGAGAUAUACUCUGCUUCUGCAGUUGAUUGUGCCACCACCUCUUGCUUCUUUGCAUUCUAACAGAUUGCACCUGAACCAAUGUUAAAAAAUACCCAGAGGUGCUUUUCAUGUCAUCAACACUCCUUGCCCAGUCACUAUUUGCAUAACCAAUUAGUUUUACUCCUCCUGUCUUCAAGUACCAAAUGCCAAGAUUAGUUGUUCCUCUAAUGUACUUCAACACCCUUUUAGCAAUUCCCAUGUGAAUAUUGCUAGGUGAGCUCAUGAACCGUGACAGCAAACCAGCUGGAAACACCAGGUCUAGUUGCUGUCAAGUAUAGUAAACUGCCCACUAAACUUCUAAAUCCAAAGGGAUCUUCAAGUUUCUCACCAUCAUUCUUUGAAAUCUUCUCAUUUUGUGCCAAAGGAGUUGCUACUUCUUUGCAUGACUCAAGUUUGAACUUCUUGAGUAUAUCAACAACAUAUUUUCUUUGUGAAACAAAAAUACCCGAACUACAUUGAUGUAUCUCCAUUCCAAGAAAGUAGUUCAUAAUGCCAAGAUCAGACAUUUCAAAAACAUCUUGCAUUUCUGUUUUGAACUCUUCCAGCAACUUUGCAUUGCUUCCAGUAACUAGCAUGUCGUCUACAUAGAGUGAUAUCACCAGCUGCAAACCAUCUUCAUCUUGUUUCAGAUACAAAGUAGCUUUAUUUUCACUUCUCUUGAAUCCCAGUUGAAUCAAAUAAGUGUCAAUUCUGCUGUACCAGGCCUUUGGUGCUUGCUUCAAUCCAUAAAGAGCCUUGUGUAGCUUGUAUACUUUGUGUUCAUUACCAGCAACUACAAAGCUUUCUGGUUGCUGAACAUAAAUUUCUUCAAGAAGUAUUCCAUUUAGAAAAGCAGACUUAACAUCUAAAUGAUAUACUCUCCAUCCUUUUUGUCCCGCAAGAGCAAGUAAGAGUCUUAUAGUGUCAUGCCUAGCUACUGGUGCAAAAGUAUCUCCAUAAUCCACUCCAGCAACUUGAGCAAAGCCUUUAACAACCAAUCUAGCCUUGUGUUCGAAGAUUGAACCAUCUGGAUUGAAUUUGGUUCUGAAGACCCACUUCACUCCAAUUUCCUUUUUAUCUUCAGGAAGAUCAAUCAAUCUCCAAGUCCCAUUUCUUUCAAUGGAAUCAAUUUCUGAUUUCAUUGCUUCAAUCCAAACUGGAACUCCUGCAGCUUCAGUAUAGUUUGUAGGCUCAGCAUGUACAAGAUUACAUUUUUCGUACACAUCAGACAAUGGCCUAACCUUAAGUACUGCUGUAUCUGAAGUUGCUUCAAUGUCUUGUUGAACACCAAUACUUCUUACUAUUGGUUCAAGUGCAGCUGUGAUAUUCUGAUCAACUCCUUUUAAGUCCCAAUUCCAGCAGGAAUUCUCAUCAAAAUGCACAUCUCUGCUGACCUGAAUUUUAGCUGCAUUCAGAUUGAAAAUUCUGUAACCUUUUGAUUCUGUCGCAUAUCCCACCAGAAUUCCUUUCUCUGCUCUUUCAUCCAGUUUCCCUCUUUUGGCAGAUGGUACAAGGAAGUAGCACAAUGAUCCAAACACUUUGAGAUGUUUGACAGUAGGCCGGACACCAGACCAUGCUUCCAAUGGUGUUUUGCUUUGAACAUACUUAGUUGGAAGUCUAUUAAGCAAAUAUACUGAAGUAUUUACUGCUUCAGCCCAAAGAAACCUUGGCAACUUCUUUUCAAAUAAGAUACAUCUAGACAUCUCCAUCACAGUUCUGUUCUUCCUUUCAGAAACUCCAUUCUGCUGUGGAGAGUAUGGAAUUGUCAGCUGGUGUACAAUCCCAGCUUCUAAACAAAAGGCAUUGAACUCCUUCGAAAUAUACUCUCCUCCAUUAUCAGUUCUCAACACCUUGAUCUUCUGUCCACUUUGAGUUUCAGCCAUGCUCUUGAAGUUUUUGAACAUUAAUAGUGCUUGUGACUUGGUUUUCAGAAAAUAAACCCAAGUCAUUCUACUGAAGUCAUCAAUGAACAAUAUAAAGUACAUAUUAUUGCUCAAGAAGGCUGUGCUUUGAUCCACAUAUGUCUGAGUGGACUAACUCCAGCUUGUGAGUUGCUCUUUUAGAUAUACCUUUAGGAAAUGGUUGUCGGUGUUGCUUUCCCAGUUCACAGCUUCCACAUGUAUGAGCAGUAACAUGAAUUUCAGACAUGUUUUCUACCAUUCCAGUAUCAUAUAGCAACUUUAAUGAAUUGAGAUUGUAAUGACCAAAUCUUUUGUGCCAAAGAAUGCUUUCAUCAAUCUUAGCACUAAACACAUGUCCUUUAACAACAUCAAGCUUCAAAUAGAAGCUAUUACCAUCCAUUUUGAUUUUUGCUAUCUCUGAAUUAUGUGUAUCAAUGAUAAAGCAAAAUUUCUCUUUAAAAGAGACUUCAUAACCAUUCCUGAGCAUCUGUGCAACACUAAGGAGAUUUUGAUCUAGUUCUGGAAUGUAAAGAACAUUUGUGAUGGUUCUAAUACCUUUAUUUAUGCUGACCGCAACAGUGCCUUUCCCUUUAGCCUGCACAAUAUCUCCAUUUCCCAACUUGAUCUUCGGUUGAACUAAUCUGUCAAUAGAAGAAAAGAUUGACAGAAACUUAGACAUGUGACUUGUGCAGCCACUAUCUAUAAGCCAUGUAUUUAGUUUAGAAGUAUUGCUAGCUUGUGAUGCCAUAAACAAAUGCUCUUCAUCAUCUUUGCCUUCUUCAGAAACAUUUGCUUGUUGUUGUAUUUGUUGCUGCUGUGAUUGUUUCUUCUUGAUUCUGUAAAAUUUCUCACUAUGACCCAGAUUAUUGCAGAACAUACACUGGAGAGAAGGUUUAGCCUUAAACCAACAAUCUUUCUCAGUAUGGUUAGUUCUUCUGCAAUAAGGGCAUGGUAAGAAAAUCUGUCUUUUUGAAGAUGUACUUGUUUUCCUUUUAGAAAACUUGACAUGUUUGUUUCUUGGCAGGUUACCAACACUCCUUCCCUUAUUGUUUGCUUGGAAAGCCCCUUCAACAGUCUCAUCAUCUCUCAUAUGAACCCUUUGCUCCUGAACAUGAAGUUUGCUAAUUAACUCUGCAAUAGUAAGAUUUUGCAAAUCGCAAGAUUCUUCUAUUGCAGAGAUCUUGGCUUCAAACUUUUACGGGACUGACAUCAUAAGUUUUUCUACUACCUUAUGAUCUUCAAAUGUAUUUCCAAGAAGUCUCAUUUGGUUUACAACAUCCAUUAAUCUGCCAGAGUAAUCAUUGACAGAUUCAUUGUCUUUCAUCUUCAUCAACUCAAAUUCCCUUUUAAAUGCAAGAAGCUUAACUGCUUUAACUCUGUUGCUCCAUUCAAAUUCAAUUUGGAGCUUAUCCCAUACUUGUUUUGGUGUCUCCAGAUUCAUUAUUUUGGUGAAAAUAUGAUCUGCAAGUCCAGAAUGUAGGCAGGUAAUGGCUUUGUCCUUCUUGAGUUUUUUUUCUUCAUGUGCUUUCAUUUGAGCGAUUGUGGGAUUUGCAUUCAAUGGUGGUGGAUCAGAAUCGGUCACCACAACAUUCCACAAGCCUUGAGAUCUUAGAUAAAAUCUCAUUUUGACAGCCCAAAUAUGAUAGAGUUCACCACUAAACAUUAGAAUUGCAUAUGCUAUAUUACUUGAAGUAGACAUUGAAAUAGAAGGAAAAUAACUCACUAGUAUUUAUGCUCACCCUCUCUGUGUUUAGCACUCACAAUACUUGCCUCACCCUCUUUGUGUUUGUCACUCACAAUACUUGCCUCACAACCCGUAUGAUAUAUUGCUCUGAUACCACUGUUAGAAAUAUUUAGUUCUGGAAACUGAAGUUAAGUAUAGGAGAAACAGAUUCAAGAUAGCAGAGUUGAGUAGAAAGAUCAAUAAUAUUCAUUAAUUUCGAAUGCCUAUAUAUAGGCUUACAUGGAACUUGGAAUGGAUUGAAACUCUCAACAAACUUGAGAGAUUAUUGGAAUUGAAAAUAACAAACUGUAGCAGAAUGUUACUGCUGCAAAUCCUGAAGAAUCAAAAACAAUAAUAUAAAAUUCAAAUAACAUAACUGCACUUAACUCUAUCUUACUCAAGGCAUAAUCUCAUAAUUCUAACAGUUCACUCCCCCUGUCAAUAUUACUGUCGUGGUGAAAGUUGUAGUAAGGGCGACAACUGAUCCAGUUUUCCCUCCAGGCAUCGUGGAUGUUUAUGGAAUACUUUGUUAUAGUCAGCAGCAAAGAGCAAUAUAGAUUUGUUGACAGCAAUUUCUACUUCUUCUUCUUUCCUUUUUUUUUCCUUCUUGCUAUAGCAAUUUCUAACCUUCAUUUAUAGUUGCUAGUUCAAGGUUUUUUCCCAUAAGUUUAUGGCACUUCUGUGGUGGAUGGUGAUUAGGGAUCAACCAUUUUAAGUUUGGUUCUUUUAAUUUCUUUCAAGGAUAGAGACUUUCAGAAUCUCAGGAAAGAACUAAAAUAAUGGCUUAUCUCUGACAACAUGCAGUUAAUAUAUAAAUUUCCUUUGUAACAGUCAAUAGAGGGGACUGAUUUCUUAAUCAUUGAACACUAAAACUGGAAUUGAUGGACUUAAUCGUGAAUUAAUUACUUUAAUCAAUCCAAGCUGACUUUCUGCAUCACGCAAUAGGUAUAUAAGCAAGCAAUAGAAUUUAAAAUUCACGUUGAUAUUUUUAUACAUUUUCCUUUCUGCAGCUAUUAAUUUAUCCUCCUAGCAAUCACAAUAAAAUGGAAGAAAAUAGUCCUCUUGUGAUAGGCAUACAUCAUGAAACCAAAUGAAACCCUUGGUUAAAAUUGAAAGAAUGAUUUAGAAAACUGUUUUAUAUUUAUAUAUAUAUUUGGAUUCUUUUUUGUUUUUUUUUUUAGUUUAACGUGGGUGUCCGGGCCAGCUUGCGCGCACCUCGACUAAUCCCACGGGCCCUGAAGUUAACGACCAUGUAAACCUCCAGUGCCCAUCAUAUGAGUAACCAUAAGACUCGAACUUGAGACUACAGCCUCUUAGUCCCAAGCUCUUACCACUGGGCCACCACCUAGAUGGUUUAUUUGGAUUCUUUUCUUGAAACUUGUUGUGUUGGUCAUAAUUUUUAAACUAUGUGAGGGUUCAUCAAGGGCAAGGGACAAGUUAGGGGCAAGAGGAUCGACCUCAAAACAAAAUUAAAAAGAAAAAAGAAUUAAAAUGAUGAUGUUUUGUUAAUUUUUUUUUUAAAUUAACAAGUUGAUUUUUCUAUUUUUUUUCCAAUUAAAACCAAUUAAAGCUCCAAAUCAAGCGGAUCUGAAUUUUAAAACAGUUGCGUUGGUCACCAGUCAGAAGAAUAAAGGCUACCCAACAUCCAAAGGCACUGGGUCCUACACUUCUUCUUAAAAAUCUACGAACAUAAAUAAUAAGAAUUAUUUUCAAUUCAAAACUCUAAAUUAUUUGAUUAUAUAUGAAUCCAUCUUGACCUUAUUUUUUGUCAUCUUGGGUAAACUGUUGAGAAACACCUCAAUCUUUUAAGUAUCGAUUAGAAACGCGGUCUAACCCGAGUUUUUUAAAAAUUUAAAUUUUUUUUUAUUUAAAAUUUAAAAUUUUUUUAUCAUUUUAAUAUACUGAUAUUAAAAAUAAAAAAAUAUUAUUUUAAUAUAUUUUUAAAUAAAAAACACUUUAAUUUACCAUUAUUAUCUUAAUCCGGCCUCUUAAGCUGAAUAAAAAUUUAUGGUGAUUUUGGAACUAUAAUUAAGAAGUAGUACCCAGGAAAAAGCUUGCAGCAGUGUAAAACACGACUGAAUUACGGGAGACAACGAUGUGACAUAACAAAGGAUGCUUCCUCGAACGAAGCCACAACUAAAAUAAAUGAUUGGCAUAUUCGAACCUUGUCCUAAACAAUAGACAAUUAGGCACGCACUGUUUAAUGAUUUCCUGCCAAUAAAAAUAUUAAAAAAGGAACUGAUUUGUGAUCUUCAAUUAUAUAUUUGGGUCUAAGACUUCACUUUAUGCUAACUGAUUUAUAUUUUAUUAUGAUUACGUAAGGCACACUGGUUUUCUCAGCUUCAGCUUGUUGAGGAAAGCCGGCCUUGUAUGAUUUCUCAAACAAGCAAGAAAAAGCCCGGUGCUUUCUGUUAGUAAAACCUAAAAACAAUGAAACAUAUUAUCUUAUUAAACUCAAACUGGAGAAGAUGAUGUCGGAACGAAGCCCUUUGCCACCAACACCUCAAGAGUUUAGGGGAUCUAUGCUACAAGCUUGAAUAUUCACUAACUAAUCACAAAUACUUUGAUUUAGUCAAGGGUAAACGAUGGUGAAAUAACCAAUAAGACAAGGGAUAUUUAUCAGUGACCAGAACAAGGCGAAUUCCGACAGAUCUGAGGGCAACUAAUUUGUCAUAUGUGACCAAUACGUCCAAGUGCCUCUGUUUUACAUGCGAACAUUAACAUGUGCCGGCGACAUUGACUUUGAUGGGGGUGUACAGUACAGUGUAAAUGCAAAUCUCUUGCCAUUCUCCUCUUCCAACUCUUGCCAUUGUAACUUAUUUCAAUAAUAAAAAAAAAAUCUUCUUUUAUAAUAAUCUUAAUAAUUAUGAUCAGGGGUGGAGAUAGGGAGCAAGUAGGGGCUCGAGCCUCUACCAAAAAAAUUAAACCUUUUUAGGAUUGUACACAUAUUUUAUAUGUGUAUCUUCUAUAUAAAUUUUUUUUCAAGUUUUGAUAUUUCCCUAGAAAAUUGUACACACCUUCUAUUUGAAAGAAUUCAAUAAAUUCUUCUUCAAUGUAAUUGAAAAUCGCUAUCGUAAAAUUGUAGCCCACGCAGGACCACGUCUCCAAUUUAUUAAUAUGAUUUGAUUCAAACAAUCAAAACAUGCAAUUUCCUAGUAAUUACAAUCACUAUUCCUCUCCUCUCUUCAAACCAAUACGGUGAGGCCCCUCCUCAAGAACUGGUCCAAGCUCUUCUCCUUCAAGGCUUUAGUUUCACCUUAUAAAUAACACUUCCUGCCUUCCAAGCUUAAACCAAGAAAACUAGCUAGAAUCAGCUCAACCAUAGGUGGACAACGAGAUGAUCAUGAAAAAAUACUCUUUAAAUCCUGUUCUAUCUUCAUUUUUCUUCCUUUCUUUGAUGAUUUUGUUCUCAGAAAUGGGGGUGGCCCAGAACACAACAUCUACAAUCCCAGUGAAUGUAGGAGUGGUUCUUGACUUGGCUUCUUUGGAGGCCAAUAUUGCUUUGAGCUGCAUCAACAUGGCCCUUUCAGACUUCUAUGCCUCUCAUGGUGACUACAAAACUAGACUGGUCCUCAACACCAGGGACUCAAAGAAAGAUGUUAUUGGUGCAGCUGCUGCAGGUUCCAUCUCUGCCCCUUCUCUUGGUUCUCAUCUCUUUUCUCCAAUUAUGAAUCAUUGCUCACCAUUUCUUACUUCUAAUUAUUAACCUCCAGCUCAUGCAACAUUUUAACAGUAGAGAUUUUUACAUUCUGUAUUAAUUAUCUGAUGAGGUUCUCGACCUGCAAAUCUCUAGUUUGUUCAAAGAAUGCAGGUCCAUGGACAUGAUAUGAGAAUAUAUAUACCGUUCCAUGCUUGUUAUAUUUUUCUUUUCAAGCUAAGGGUAUUCUCAGAAAAACCUGCACAUAUCUAGACAAAACUCUCUUUCUGAUCGUGUUUACGUAAGCCAUCCACGCUCGAACCGGUUUAUAUAAUCAUUCUAAGAACCGGUGUUGAUUGAGGAAUUUCUUCCUCAACCUUUCAUUGUAACCCAAAAUGACAACGUCUUGGGAAGCUUAAUUAUCGGCAAUCAACACCUUAAUUAAGACCAAGAAGGACACGUUUUAUCUAAGCCUUACUGUGAUAAUGAAGCAAUAACACACAAAAGUCUAACUUUCUGCUAGCAACGAUAAGGGGGGUCAAAUCACACAAAAGUCUUCAUGCCCCCCCCCUAAUACUGGAGGAGGUCUUCUAGGCUAAUAUAAUAAGGUUGUCAAUUCUGUUCUGUUUCAUCCGGAAUAACCGAAAUAUUUCAUACCAAUUCAAAAAAUAAAACAAAACGGAACAAAUUUCAUCUCAUUUUAAAUCUCAGUCCGUUUCAUAUUUUUCGGCCAAAUUCCGCCCGAAACGUUCCGGUUUCAUUCCACAUGUUCUGUUCCGCUCUUGAAAAGUUAUUGAAUCAAAUUAAACCUUGUUCAAUUUAAUUAAUUAAACCACCCAAUUAUAAAAAGCUCUUUUUUAUUACUAUUUUCAAUAACAAUGAUAUUGAUAAUAAUAUUGAAAGUUAUUAUUAUUAUUUUCAUUAACAAUAAUAUUAAUUUUUUAAAAUUAGAUUUAUCACUAAUAUAUAUGGUUUAUAUUCAUGUUGUUUUUUUCAUGUUUAUACUUUGUAGGAAUUUGAGCAAAACAAGGAGUGUUUUAGAUUUUAUUAGCCUUGAUAACAUUGACCUAACUUUAUAUUUAAAAUAUUUGUAUUAAAACAUUUUAUUUUCAUAAUAUUUUGAUAUUUUGUUUAAGUUGAAUUACUUUAAGUUAAAAACCUAUUUAAUCUUGACUAUUUAGGAAUAUUUUAAAUUUUAAAAUUAUAUUUGUUUGGCAUUGUGUUUGUAUUGCAUAAUUUAUAAUUAAUUUAUCUUGAAUUUGAAUUAUGUUUGUUGAAUAUAUAUAUAUAUAUAUAUAUAUAUAUAUAUAUAUGAACAGUACAACCCCGAAACGGCACGCUGAAACACUCCGAAACUGAAACAUUCCAUUCCAAUUGAAAAAACAAAACACCUACCGAAACGGAAUUGACAACCUUGAAUAUAAUAGCAAUUACAUAAUAAACAUAAAAGAUUUUAUUGAGUUAAAAAAAACUAAAAAAUAAACUUUAAUAGUAAAUAGAUCUACUAGAAAAUACUUUAAAAUCUAAAAACAUCAAGAAAUUAAAACAUAAUCCUAAAAGAACAAAAAAAAAUUAUAAAAAAAUAAUAAAUUCAAAUCUAAUAAUGGAAGACCCAACAGUCCAAUAAAUAACGCAGUUAUCUUAUUCUUAAGAUAACAUUGAAUUUUUUUUAACUCUAGCUAACAAUUAGAUCUCUGAUUAUUUCAUUUUUAAAAUGCUAACCUAUGAUGCGCGGUCAAACUUUUUUUUAAAUCACUUUUGAAUUAUUAAUAAUUUACAAUUAAUGUCAUUGAAUAAUUUGUUUAACUUGUCACUGUCUUAUCAGCGACCUUUUUAUAUGUAAUUAACAGCCUGAGAUGUACUUUUUAAAAUAAAAUAUGAAUAUGAUAAGUUUGGCACUGCCUAUUUUAAUUGUUUAGGACUGCGACGCCGAUCAUUGCAUUAUACUUGAAUCAUCAUUCAAUUUUGAUAAUCAUAUUCUAUAAAUUAUUUUUGUUGAAAUAAAAACAUUAUUUUUUAUUAAAAAAUAAUAUAAAUUAUAUUUUAGAAUCUUAUUUAACAAUUUAAAUUAUUAGGUUAAAAUAAUUUUUUAAUAUGAUAUAAAAAUUUUAAUAAUUAAAAAAACACGAGUUUGAAUCUUAUUUUUUCUUCUGUCUAUUUUAAAAUUUUAUUUUAGAAUUUUAUUUAAUAAUUUAAAAUUUUUUUUUUGUUUUUUUUAUUUUAAAAUGAUAAAAAUUCAUUAUAAAAUUAUUCAAGACACACGUUUAUUUUAUGUAUAAGUCGNNNNNNNNNNNNNNNNNNNNNNNNNNNNNNNNNNNNNNNNNNNNNNNNNNNNNNNNNNNNNNNNNNNNNNNNNNNNNNNNNNNNNNNNNNNNNNNNNNNNNNNNNNNNNNNNNNNNNNNNNNNNNNNNNNNNNNNNNNNNNNNNNNNNNNNNNNNNNNNNNNNNNNNNNNNNNNNNNNNNNNNNNNNNNNNNNNNNNNNNNNNNNNNNNNNNNNNNNNNNNNNNNNNNNNNNNNNNNNNNNNNNNNNNNNNNNNNNNNNNNNNNNNNNNNNNNNNNNNNNNNNNNNNNNNNNNNNNNNNNNNNNNNNNNNACUUCCAUCAGGAGUUCAUAUUUCUUGCGAGCAACACAAAAAUGAUUCAGCUCAAGUGAAUGCCAUAAGUGCUAUAGUUCAAGCCUUUGGAUGGAGAGAAGCGGUGCCCAUCUACAUUGACAACGAAUAUGGAGAAGGAAUCAUACCUUAUUUAACUGAUGCUCUGCAAGAAGUUGAUGCUCGUGUGCCCUACCGGAGUGUCAUUUCUCCAUCGGCCACUGAUGAUCAAAUUGUUGAGGAGCUUUAUAAGUUGAUGACAAUGCAAACUAGAGUUUUCAUUGUGCAUAUGUAUCGCUCUCUAGGCACUCGGCUUUUCACCAAAGCAAAAGAGAUUGGAAUGAUGAGUGGAGGCUAUGUUUGGAUCAUGACAGACGGUCUGAGUGUUGAUUUCUUGAGUUCACCGAAUCAUUCUGUCACCGAUACUAUCCAAGGAGUAUUGGGUAUUAAACCUUAUGUUCCAAGAACAAAACAGCUUGAAUAUUUUCGAGCUCGGUGGAAAAGGCAAUUCCUACGAGAUAAUCCAAAUAAAUUUGAUGCUGAGUUGAACAUUUAUGGACUCCUGGCCUAUGAUGCUGCUACAGCAUUGGCCUUGGCAGUUGAGAAAGCCGGCACUACAAAUUUUGACUUCCAAAAGGCAAAUGUUCCUAGCAAUUCAUCAACUGAUCUUGCAACUCUUGGCAUCUCUUUAAAUGGUCCAAACAUUCUUCAAGCUUUAUCGACCACUAGUUUCAAAGGCCUUACAGGAGAUUACCUUUUUGUUGAUGGGCAGUUGCAAUCACCAGCUUUUCAGAUAGUUAAUGUGAAUGGGAAUGCAGGAAGACGGAUUGGAUUUUGGACACCAACAGAAGGACUUGUGAAAACACUGAAUCCGAGAAUAAAUAAACGUAUGAAUUCAACUUCUACUUCCAGACUUUCAACUGUAAUUUUUCCUGGGGAUACAACUGUGGUUCCCAAGGGUUGGGAGAUUCCCACAAAUGAGAAGAAGUUGAAAAUAGGAGUGCCUGUGAAGUCUGGCUUCAGUGAGUUUGUAGCAGUAACAAAAGAUCCUGGUUCCAACACCGCAACAUUCACCGGAUUCUGCAUAGAUGUUUUUGAUGCUGUAGUCAAAGCAUUGCCUUAUGCUUUGCCUUAUGAGUACACCCCCUUUGCCAACUCUGAUGGCGAACCUGCUGGAACUUACAACGAUCUGGCCUAUCAAGUGUACUUGAAGGUAAGACUUGCUCUCGCCUUUUCUGUUCUUGUAACUAUAUCACAUUGAAUAUCAUUCACAUUGAUGUAUUUUUGUUUAUUGCCAACAGAAUUAUGAUGCUGUGGUUGGAGACAUAACUAUUGUCUACAACAGGUCCUUGUACAUCGACUAUACCCUGCCUUUCACAGAAAGUGGUGUCUCCAUGAUUGUUCCGAUUGCAGACAACAACAGCAAAAAUGCAUGGGUCUUCAUGCAACCUUUGACAUGGGACCUUUGGGUGAGCAGUUUUUUGUUCUUUGUUUUCAUUGCAUUUGUGGUCUGGGUUCUUGAGCACAGAAUAAAUGAAGAUUUUCGAGGGUCAGCUUCAGAUCAAGCUGGCACUAGCUUCUGGUUUUCCUUCUCAACUAUGGUUUUUGCACAACGUAAUCUCCCUUCACUUGUGAAUUUUCCUUCUCCUGUUGUACUAGCACUCCAUAUAUAAUCACCAAAUUGACUUUAUGUUUAUAUUUACAGGGGAGAGAGUGGUUAGCAACUUGUCUAGGGCGGUGAUAAUCAUCUGGUGUUUUGUUGUGUUGAUCCUCACGCAGAGUUACACCGCCAGUUUAGCAAGCCUACUUACCGUCGAGCAGCUGCAGCCUACAGUUACUGAUGUACGUGAGCUCAUUAAGAAAGGGGAGUAUGUGGGAUACCAGAAUGGUUCUUUUGUUCUAGGACUCUUGUUAGACUUGGGGUUCGACAAGUCCAAGCUCAAGGUGUAUGGUUCUCCAGAAGAAUGCCACCGUCUUUUCUCUAAAGGAAGUGGAAAUGGUGGUAUUGCUGCUGCUUUCGACGAACUUGCAUAUAUAAAGCUCAUUCUGUCAAGAUAUUGCUCCAAAUAUACCAUGAUUGAUCCUAAAUUUAAAACAGGCGGUUUAGGCUUUGUAAGCUCACUUUCCUAUCUUGUUAUUUCCAUUUACUCUGUGGCUAAUAAGUGCAUAGUUUCUCAUGUAUCCUUUCUUUUUGUAACCUCAGGUCUUCCCUAAAGGUUCUCCUCUAAUGCCUGAUAUAUCGAGGGCAAUUUUAAAUGUGACCGAGGGAGAUAAAAUGAAGCGAAUAGAGGAUUCAUGGUUUGGCAAAAAAGGCACAUGUCCAGAAUCCAGCUCCUCAAUUACAUCUAAUAGCCUUAGUCUCAAGAGUUUCUGGGGGUUAUUUUUAAUUGCAGGACUAGCUGCAUUGUUAGCUCUCAUUAUCUUCAUAGUCAUGUUUGUUUACCGAGAAAGAAACGUCUUGAGGUCCUCUGAUUCCACAGCUUCAAUAUGGAGUAGAAUCGAAAACUUCUUUAGAAUUUUCAUUCAAAGGGACUCGACAUCCAGUACUUACAGACAAAGUGAUCUGAAUGAUAGAAAUGGCAUCAGUCUGCCUACUAUGAGUGCGCCAAGCCCAUCUGACUAUUCAGUUGACACGGAAUAUCCUGCCAAUCGAUCUUCUUCAAGCUAUGAUUCUAGUCCAAAUAGGGAAGCACCUCAAGAAGUAGUAAUAGAUAUCGAUCAGCUUACCAACCGAAAUCAGGAGAGACUGGCAGCUUUGGAAAUAGACCAUGAAAAUAAUUGACUUGUAGGUUAUCAUUUGACACUUUUGACACCAGUAGUCAUUAGCAUUGUAAUGAAAUGGAAUUACUGUUGAAGAGAAUGAUAUUUUCUUAUUGUAUUACAGAGUAAGCAAAGGUUACAAUUUAUAAUGAUGGUUUAAUACAAAGAGCCUAUAUUAUUGCCUAUGAUCAAACCUAAUUAUCUAUGAAUAAGGAAACAAAUAAGUAAAGAUUCAAUUACAGUAUUUGACUAAACUUGAUUUCCUAUGUUGUGCUUGGUUUCCUUUAACACUCCCCCUCAAGUUGGAGUGUAUGUUAAUUACAACCAACUUGCUAAGAAAAGUCUCAAACUGUGUGGAGCUUAAUGGCUUGGUAAACAAGUCUGCUGGUUGGUGUGUAGUUCGAAUGUAGGCUGUCUGAAUCAUUCCUGCUUGAAUUUUCUCACGUAUCAAAUGACAGUCUAUUUCUAUGUGCUUGGUUCGCUCAUGAAAGACGAGAUUCGAUGCUAUGUGCAUUGUUGCUUGAUUAUCGCAGAAUAAGGUUACUGGCUUUGUGUGAUUUAUUUGUAAGUCCUUCAAAAUGUUUUUCAGCCAUGUAAUUUCGCAGCAUGUAGUAGCCAUGGAGCGAUAUUCUGCCUCUGAACUUAAACGUGAUAUUGUUGUCUAUUUCUUGGUCCUCCAUGAAACUAGUGCUUCUCCAAGUAAAAUGCAGUAACCAGUAACUGAUCUUCUCGUGUCCUUACAACGAGCCCAAUCAGCAUCACAAAAUGCUCGUAACUAAAGUGCACCUGUGGACGGCAACAAGAUGCCUCGUCCAAGUGUUUGUUUGAUAUAUUUGAGCACUUUAUAAGUUGCAUCCAGAUGUGGUUGACGGGGCUUGUCCAUGAACUGAUUUAGGAUAUGCACAACAUAAGUCAAGUCAAGUCAAGUCUAGUCUAGUUAUAGUAAGGUAGAGUAACUUGCCAACUAACCUCCUGUAUGUUGAUCCAUCCUCCAAAAGCUUUCCAUCGGAUUGUGUUAGGGACACAUUUUGCUCCAAAGAAAACUGAGAUGGCUUGACACUCAAAACCCCCGCAUCAUCCAGAAUGUCAAAUGCAUAUUUUCUCUGUGACAAACUGAUGCUAUGUCAUGAUCUGGCAACCUCAAUGCCAAUAAAGUAUUUAAGUUGCCUCAAGUCCUUAAGUUUGAAUUGAUUGGACAAGAAAAGUUUGGUGUUCUCUAUGUCUUGCAAAUUAUUCCCAGCUAAUAUCACAUCAUCAAUAUAUAUCAGUAAUGCUAGAAAGUUACCAUGAUGGCUUCGAGCGAACAACGAAUAAUCAGAUAAGGACUGAUGGAAUCUUGCAGCCUUGAGUGCACCGAACAACUUGAUAAACCACUGUCUAGAGGCUUGUUUUAAGCCAUACAGGGAUUUGUGAAGUUUGCAAACAUGUGUCUCCCCCUUUCGCCCGAAGCCAGGAGGCAAAGUCAUGUACACGUCCUCAUCCAAGUCACCAUGCAAGAAUGCAUUGUUGACAUCUAUUUGAUGUAAAUGCCAACCAUGCAAAGCUGCCACACUAAGUAAGAGGCGGACAGUGACCAUCUUGGCUACGGGAGCAAAAGUUUCCUGAUAAUCAAUGCCUUCAACUUGAUAAACCAUUGUCUAGAGGCUUGUUUUAAGCCAUACAGGGAUUUGUGAAGUUUGCAAACAUGUGUCUCCCCCUUUCGCCCAAAGCUCGAAGCCAGGAGGCAAAGUUAUGUACACGUCCUCAUCCAAGUCACCAUGUAAGAAUGCAUUGUUGACAUCUAUUUGAUGUAAAUGUCAACCAUGCAAAGCUGCCACACUAAGUAAGAGGCGAACAGUGACCAUCUUGGCUAUGGAAGCAAAAGUUUCCUGAUAAUCAACGCCUUUAACUUGGUUGUAGCCCUUAGCCACCAGUCGUGCCUUAUAUCGUUCCACUGUCCCAUCGGCAUUCAACUUGAUUUUGUAUACCCAUUUGCAGCCGAUUGGCCAUUUAUGGGAUGGUAAAGGUACCAAACUCUAAGUCCCAGUGGCCUGUAAAGCAGCUACCUCAUGGUGCAUGGCCUCACGCCACUGAGGAUGUUGAACAGCCUGUGAAAAACUGGUGGGUUCUUUGAGGAGAGUGAGUUGAGCAGUAUAAGCCUUGUGAUGGGGAGAAAGGUGAGUGUAAGAUAUAUAGGUAGAGAGGGGAUAAGUAGUACCUGAAGUGUGAACCAUGUUCGUGGAGGAUGUCGGGUCAGGCCUUGAAGGGAGAGUCGUGGCGAGAUGAAAAUCCUGCAAGUAAAGAGUGGUGAUAGAAUGACUGUCACGACGAAGGGUAGGAAUGUGCACAGGGGAGGAGGGGUUCUGUAUAGGAGAUAAAUCGGGUAGUUGACUUUCGACAGGACUGGCUGGAGAUGGGGACUCUGUGAGGGGAGCCGGAGGAGUAGACGAGCUAGUGGAAGGACGUGUCUGGGAAUUGGGUGAGCUGGUAAGUGCAGGACAGGGAAGCAGAGGAGGGGGUUCAAAAUGUAUGUUGAAAGGUAAGGAUGGAGUGUGAGUGGGGGUGGGAUGCGAAAAUGGUGGGGUAUUAGUAUGUGAUGCAAAUGUAAGAAAGGGAAAUAUGGAUUCAAAGAAAACGACAUCCCUGGAGACUAUUAUUCUUUGUGUAGCUAGAUCAAAAACUCUAUACCCCUUUUUCCCAUAAGGAUAUCCAAGAAAAAUACACCAAAAUGCUCGAGGAUCAAAUUUGGAGCAACUUUGUGCAUAGGUGGAAACAAAACAUAAGCAACCAAAUACCCGUAAGUGCGAGUAAUUGGGAACUAUGUUGAAUAGUUUUUCAUAUGGUGUUUUUUCAUAGAGAAUGGGGGUUGGUGUUUGAUUUAUGAGAUAAGCGGAAGCAAGAAUAGUGUCACCCCAAAAUUGGUUAGAAAGAAUGACUUGAGGCAGCAACUGAUCUAGUUUUCCCUCCCGGCAUCGUGGAUGUUUAUGGAAUUCUGCGUUAUAGCCAGCAGCAAGGAGCAACAUAGAUUUGUUGAUAUCGAGAGUUCAUUUGUUUUCUUCACCAAUAUAGAGUUCAUUAUCAAUAUCAAGAUUUCAUCUGUUUUCUUCUUCUUUGUAAGUUCUCAAAAUGUUAGCUGUUAGAGUUGGACUCGCAGCAUUUUGUGAACUGGAGACUCACAAAAAGGUUCCAUUAACAUGUCUGAUGAAAUAAAAAUACAUGAUAAGAACCAGCUCAUACCCUGUAUGUCUCCUGAUCAAAAGAGUUUAUGUAGGUCUCAUAAUAAAAAUCUUUAAAGCUAAAUUAUAUUUUGAAGAAUCUUUUUUUAAAGGUACAAAUUAAUAUAAUUUUAUAAAUUUUGAACAAAUUAUACAUUCAUACAACAAAUUUUUAUACGAAAAAGCUAUAAAAUAAGUAAAAAUCCAAACAAUAUAUAUAUAUACACACACACACACACACAAUAAAAAUUAACAUUAAAAAAUUGAGUUAAAAAAAUAGGUAGUUUUGAUUAUUUGAAGUGAAGAAUUCUCAAUAAAAUUUGAAUUAGAAUAGGAAUGUUGACAAACUAAGUGUUAGGGUGGUUAGAUUUAUAGUGGGAUGUUGAUUUGCGAUAAAAAUUAAGGGGCUGUAUUGUUUGUUGCAGUGAAAAAUAAAGGAGGACGAAGAAGAAAUGAGGGAGGGGGAGGGAAGGGUUGCUCGUCUAAUCAUAAAUUAAAUAUUAUAGACAAAUUUAUUGACGACAUUCUUCGAUGAAAUUUUCCUGUCUGUAAUUUUAUCUAUAAAAAUAACAUAUUACUAUAUUUUUUAGCUUUUUAAACUUCUUUUCCCACUGUAAUUCAUUUUUAUCUAUAUUUAUUGAUGUAUAUAAUAAGAGAAUAAUCUAUUAAUAAAAUUUACCGCAAUCUACUUACAAAAAAAAUUAUAUUGGUGUUUCUAUUUAUAUUUAUCAGUUUUCUAGAAAGUAAUAACAAUUUGUAAUGAUGUUAAUUUCAACACUACAUCAUAUGCAUAUGUAUAUUGAUCGUGUUCCUGUUUGGGGUAAAUUUUGAAUAGAAAUUUGAUAAUUUUAUUAGGGCGUAAGGAGGAUUAAAACUGAGUUGCAUUAUUAAAAUGGAAGGCUACAAUAUUUUGGACUCUUGGUAGCUAGUUGAUCAACUCCUGAUAAUCAAUGCCUUCAACUUCAACUUGGUUGUAGCUCUUAGCCACCAGUCGUGUCUUAUAUCAUUUCACUGUCCCAUCGGCAUUCAACUUGAUUUUGUAUACCCAUUUGAGGAUGUUGAACAGCGCCUGUGAAAAACUGGUGGGUUCUUUCUUGCCAUAGCAAUUUCUAACCUUCAUUUAUAGUUGCUAGUUCAAGGUUUCAAGUUUGGUUCUUAAUUUCUUUCAAGGAUAGAGACUUUCAGAAUCUCAAGAAAGAACUAAAAUAACGGCUUAUCUCUGACAACAUGCAGUUAAUAUAUAAAUUUCCUUUGUAACAGUCAAUAGACGGGACUGAUUUCUUAAUCGUUGAACACUAAAACUGGAAUUGAUGGACUUAAUCGUAAAUCAAUUACUUUAAUCAAUCCAAGCUGACUUUCUGCAUCCCGCAUUAGGUAUACAAGCAAGCAAUAGAAUUUAAAAACCAAGUUGAUAUUUUUAUACAUUUUUCUUUCUACAGCUAUUAAUUUAUCCUCCUAGCAAUCACAAGAAUCAUUUGGAUUCUUUUCUUGAAACUUGUUGUGUUAGUCAUGAUUUUUAAACUAUGUCAGGGUUCACCAGGGGCAAGGGACAAGUUAGGGGCAAGAGGAUCGACCUCAAAACAAAAUUAAAAGGAAAAAAGAAUUAAAAUGAUGAUGUUUUUGACAAUUUUUUUUUAAAAUUAACAAGUUGAGUUUUUCAUUUUUUUAUUUUUUUCAAUCAAAACCAAUUUAGGCUCCAAGGCGUUGGUCACCAGGUCAGAAGAAUAAAGGCUACCUAACGUCAUCCAAGGCACCUGGUGUUCCAAGGCACUAGGUGUUGGAGAUAUCUGAACCGGAGGAGAGCCCCCACUUAAUUCUUCUUAAGAAUCUAUGGUGAUUUUAUUUAUUUUGAAGUAGAAUUAAGAAGUAGUAGCUAGGAAAAAGCUUGCAGCAGUGUAAAACGCGAUUGAAUUACUCGAGAUAACGAUGUGUCUUGAAAAUAAACAAAAUCCUGUGACAUAACAAAGGAUGCUUCCUCGAAGAAAGCCACAACUAAAAUAAAUGAUUGGCAAAUUCGAUCCUUGUCCUAAACAAUAGACAAUUACGCACGCACUGUUUAGUGAUGGACGUCUAAGACUUGACUUUCUGUUAACUGAUUUAUAUUUUAUGAUGAUUAAAUUAUGCAAGAUUUAUAUUUUAUAAUAGUGAUUAAUUACGUAAGGUACACUGGUUUUUUUAGCUACAGCUUGUUCAGGAAAGCCUUGUUUCUCUCAAACAAUCAAGAAAAAGCCUGGUGCUUCCUGUUAGUAAAACCUAAAAACAAUGAGACAAUAUCUUAUUAAACUUGAACUCGAGAAGAUGAUGUCGGAACGAAGCUCUUUGCCACCAUCACCGCAAAAGUUGAGGGAUCUAAGCUUGAAUAUUCAAUAAUAAUCACAAAUACUUUGAUUUAGUCAAGGGUAAACGAUGGUGAAAUAACCACCAAGACAAGGGGAUAUCAUUGAUCAGUACAAGGCGAAUUCCGACGGAUUUUUGUCAUAUGUGACCAAAACGUCCAAGUGCCUCUGUUUUACAAGCAACAUUAACAUUUGCCGGCAACAUUGACUAUGGUGGGGGUACUGUACAGUGUAAAUGUAAAUCUCUUGCCAUUCUACUCUUCCAACUUUUUCGGAAUAACACUUUCUUAAAUAAUUUUAAUAUUUAACCAAAAUACCCACUCCCCAUUUGUGUUUUGGACAUCUUUUUUUUUUUUUUUUUUACAAUGGGAGACAUAAUUUCUAAAAAAGGGAAUUAGGGAAAGGAGUAAUCUGCUAGGAUAUAGUAUUUAGUUUCAAUAGUGUAACCAUUUAAUUACUAAGUGUUUGUUUUUGUUAGAACAUUCUUUUUAAAGCAUUUUUCAAUUUUUUUCUUAUGAAAAUUAAAGUGUUAAAUUAAUGGUUUUUAUGUGAUUUUAAUUAAAGUUCUGAUAUUAAAAAUAAAAAAAAUAUUACACAUCACAAUACUAAACACACAUUUGGUUUUAUUUUCAUCAAGUUCACAUAUAUACACAUCUUAUAAGAUAUUGGUGUAUACUUGGUAACUUAUUUUUUAUUUAUUUAUGAUAAAGGUAUUUUAAAUUAGUUUAUACAUUAAUUGAAAUUAAAUUUUUUUUACUUCAUAUAUAUAUAUAUAUUAAGAAGAAUUUAGCUAAUUCCUCUUAAUACCUUCUAUUUGAAAGAAUUCAAUAAAUUCUUCUUCAAUGUAAAUGUAAAUGUAAAUGUAAAUCGCUAUCGUAAAAUUGUAGCCCCUGCAGGACCCACGUCCAUGUAACCGGCCAUCUCCAAUUUAUUAAUAUGAUUUGAUUCAAACAAUCAAAUCAUGCAAUUUCCUAGUAAUUACAAUCACUAUUCUUCUCCUCUCUUCAAACUAAUACGGUUAGGCCCCUCCUCAAGAACUUUAGUUUCACCUUAUAAAUAACACUUCUUUCCUUCCUUCCUUCCAAGCUUAAACCAAGAAAACUAGCUAGAAUCAGCUCAACCAUAGGUGGACAACAAGAUGAUCAUGAAAGAAUACUCUUUAAAUCCUGUUCUAUCUUUCUUUUUCUUCCUUUCUUCGAUGAUUUUGUUCUUAGAAAUGGGGGUGGCCCAGAACACGACAUCUACAAUCCCAGUGAAUGUAGGAGUGGUUCUUGACUUGGCUUAUUUGGAUGCCAAUAUUGCUUUGAGCUGCAUCAACAUGGCCCUUUCAGACUUCUAUGCCUCUCAUGGUGACUACAAAACUAGACUGGUCCUCAACACCAGGGACUCAAAGAAAGAUGUUAUUGGUGCAGCUGCUGCAGGUUCCCUCUCUGUCCCUUCUCUUGGUUCUCAUCUCUUUUCUCCAAUUAUGAACCAUUGCUCACCAUUUCUUACUGCUAAUUAUUAACUUCCUCAUGCAACAUUUUAACAGUAGAGAUUUUUACAUUCUGUAUUAAUUAUCUGAUGAGGUUCUCGGCCUGCAAAUCUCUAGUUUGUUCAUAGAAAUGCAGGUCCAUGGACAUGAUAUGAGAAUAUAUAUACCGUUGCAUGCUUGUUAUAUUUUUCUUUUCAAGCUAAGGGUAUUCUCAGAAAAACCUGCACAUAUCUAGACAAACUCUCUUUCUGAUCGUGUUUACGUAAGCCAUUCACGCUCGAACCGGUUUAUAUAAUCAUUCUAAGAACCGGUGUUGAUUGAGGAAUUUCUUCCUCAACCUUUCAUUGUAACCCAAAAUGACAACGUCUUGGGAAGCUUAAUUAUCGGCAAUCAACACCUUAAUUAAGACCAAGAAGGACACGUUUUAUCUAAGCCUUACUGUGAUAAUGAAGCAAUAACACACAAAAGUCUAACUUUCUGCUAGCAAUGAUAAGGAGGGUCAAAUCAAAACACACAAAAGUCUUCAUAAAUUGUGGCUACCCCCCCCCCCCCCCCCUGUAAUAUUGGAGGUGGUCUCCUAAGCUAAUAUAAUAGCAAUAACAUAAUAAACAUAAAGAUUUUAAUGAGUUAAAAAAAACUAAAAAUAUAAACUUUAAAAUAGUAAAUAGAUCUACUAGAAAAUAACUUAAAAUCUAAAAACAUCAAGAAAAUUAAAACAUAAUCCUAAAAGAACAAAAAAAAUUAUAAAAAAAUAAUAAAAUUAAUUCAAACAGCAACUUAAAUCUAAUAAUGGAAGACCCAUCAGUCCAAUAAAUAACGCAGUUAUCUUAUUCUUAAGAUAACAUAGAAAUUUUUUUAACUCUGGCUAACAAUUAGAUCUCUGAUUAUUUCAUUUUUAAUAUGCUAACCUAUGAUGCGCGGUCAAACUUUUUUUUAAAUCACUUUUGGAUUAUUAAUAAUUUAGAAUUGAACUCAUUGAAUAAUUUGUUUAACUUGUCACUGUCGUAUCAGCUACCUUUUUAUAUGUAAUUAACAGCCUGAGAUGUACUUCUUAAAAUAAAAUAUGAACAUGAUAAGUUUGGCACUGCCUAUUUUAAUUGUGUAGGACUGCUACACCGAUCAUUGCAUUAUUUUUGUGGUUACCAAUUCAAUAAUCAUGUGGUUACCAUUUCAAUCUAUAAAUUAUUUUUGUUGAUAUAGAAAUAUUAGUUUUUGUUAUAUCCUAUAAUUUUAUUUAAUAAUUUAAAUUAUUAGGUUAAGAUUAUUUUUUGACAUGGUAUCAAAAUCUUGAUGACUAAAUGAUCACGAGUUCGAAUCUUAUCAUUCUUAUUUAUUUGAUAAAAAUUAAGCAUAAGUUUAAUGUAAACUUGUAUAAAUUUUAAAUUUAAAGAGUUUUCAUUUGAGAGGAUGUGUAAAAAAAUAAUAUAAAUUAUAUUUUAAAAUCUUAUUUAAAAACUUAAAUUAUUAAAUAAAAAUGGUUGUUUGACAGUUAUUGCAUUAUGCAUGUACACUCACCAGUUAAUUAGCUAGUUUUCCCUCAAGUUAAAACAAAGUUCAUGCUCUGCUUAAAAAGUUUGGAUUGAUAGUGAAAGAAAUAUAUAGCUCGAACAGCAUGGAUUGUUAGACAAAAGCAUGUUAAUUUUCUGCAGUCAUGCCAUUUCUUAAUUUAUAAGAUAGGGUUUAGUUAUUGUUUUAAAAUAGAAAAGACAAGGAAAUAAACAUAAAAAAAACAUAUUUUCUUGUUUUUAUUUUAUUUUAAAAUGAUAGAAAUUCAUUAUAAAGAUACAUGUUUAUUUUAUUCAUAAGUCCCUUAUGCAUUAGAACACUAACCAAAUCCAACAUAAGGUGUAGAGCAAUUAAAAGAGAGGAGCUCACAGAUCAUAAAACGUGACAGCAGAAUGAUCAUCCUAUAAGAGAGGAGCAAUUUCUGGCAUACACAUUUUUUAUUUAUUUUAUUUUUUUCUACCUUUUUUUUUUUUUUCUAUUUUUUUGGGGCUGGGCCCAGCUCAGCCCACAUGGGCUGGGCUAGACCCAGGCAGCCCAGCCCGGCCACUGGCCCAAGCCAGUGGCCCGGCUGGGCAAAAGAAGAAGAAGCACGCGUGAAGUAAAUUCACGCGUGCAUGAAUAGUGUGAAGGUAAUUAAAUUACCUUCACACUGCAUUUGAAAGUUUUAUUGAAUGCAGAGAAUGGAAACUUACCUGUGCAGCGGAGGACGGCGCCGAAGACGAUGGCGCGGUGGCUGUUUUCUUUUGUUUCCCGGUGUGGCUCCACUGUCUUUUGGGUUGUUCUUUUUCUGUAGGCACGAAAUGGUUGCCCCUCCGUUUUUCUUUCCUUCUCAGCUCUGUCUCUUUGCCUUUUUUUAUUUGCUCUGUGUUCGGGAAGAAAGCUUUUGGUCUGUGCUUUCGAAUUCCCCUGCUCUGGACAAAUACUAUGAUGGUAAGGGUCCUGGAACCGGGGGUUGGCUGGACCCAAGCUUUCUCGGGUUCUUUGCUUUGUUUUUGCUCUGGUUCUGCCUCUGUUUUUGCUCUGGUUUUCCUCUGUUUUUCUGGGUUUUUCUUCCUUGUUUUUGCUUGCGUUCCUCUCUUCCUGCUUCUGUUUUCUUCCCCGGUUCUUGGCCUGUUCGUCCCUCUCUGUUUUCUGGGUUUUUCCUCUGGGUUUUACUUGAGUUUCACCCCUGGUUUUCGGUCCAAUCCCCCCUGUUUUCUUCUCUGGUUCCUGGCCUUCCCCCCCCCCCCCCCAUCUGUUCUGUUUCUCCCCCUGCCUUUUAUAAGGCCAGAGAGCUUCAAAAACCGUCUCCUCCACGACCGGGAUCGUGGCAGAAGACAUGGUCACGAUGGGUUCGACUUUGUUGCCGAUUUUCCCGCUUCCCUGUUGAACCGGUCUUCGACAAGCAGAUGAUGAACAGAAGGAUCCUAAAACGGCGUCAUUUGGCAUGGAAAAUGAUAGACUAUAGAUUGGUCCCUGAUGUUUUGAAAUGUAUCAAUUAGGUCCCUUAAUCAAUAAAUUUUAAUUUUUCCCCUUGGAUUAAUUUCAAUUAAAUCCCUGAAUUUAUUUAAUUAAUUAAAUCAAAGUUUAAUUAAGUCCACAAACUUAUUAAUUCUUCUAAUUUCAUUAAUUAAACUAAUCCAAAUUUUAACUAAAUUUCCAAACUUAUUAAUUCUUCAAUUUCUGACUAAUUUACUCUCAAAUCUGAUAAUUUCAUCCAUGAACUUUGAAUUUGUGUUGUUUUAACCCCAUUCCCAAAUAUAUUUUUAUCAAUUCAUUUUGUAUUAUUUAUUCAAAAAUUGGGUUAUGACAUAGGUCUCAUAAUAAAAAUCCUUAAAGCUAAAUUAUUUUUUGAAGAAUCUCUUUUUUGAAGGUAUAAAUAUAAUUUUACAAAAUCUCAAAUAAAUCCUCAUAUGUACAAUUUAUAUAUUUAUACAAUAAAUUUCUAAGCGAAAAAGUUAUAAAACAAGUAAAUAUCCAAAUAAAAUACAUAUACUGCAAAAAUAUACAAUAAAAAUUAACAUUAAAAAAUUGAUAGUUUUGCUUAUUUGAAGUGGAGAAUUCUUAAUAAAAUUUGAAUUAGAAUAGAGAUGUUGACAAACUAAGUGUUGGGGUGGUCAGAUUUGUAGUGGGAGGUUAAUUUGUUAUAAAAAUUAGAGGGGUGUAUUGUUUAUUGCAGAGAAAAAUAGAGGAGAAAGAAGAAGAAAUGAGGGAGAAGGAGAGGUGGGUUGCUCAUCAGAUCAUAAAUUAAAAAUUAUAGACGGAUUUAUUGACGACAUUCAUCGAUUGAAUUUAAUUUCCCAUCUGUAAUUCUAUAUAUUAAAAUAACACAUCAUUGUAUUUUUUUGGUUUUUUUUUAACUUCUUUUUUCAUUGUAAUGUAUUUUUGUUUAUGUUUACCGAUGAAUAUAACUAUCAAUAAAAUUCACCGCAAUCUACAUUUAAAAAAAUUAUGUCAAUGUUUUUGUUUGUGUUUAUCAGUUUUCUAGUAGAGAAAGGAAUAACAAUUUGUAAUGAUCUUAAUUGCAACUCUACAUCAUAUGCAUAUGUAUAUUGAUCUAGUGCUUUCGGGUAAAUUUUGAAUAGAAAUUUGAUAAUUUUAUUUGGGCGUAAGUAGGAUUAAACUGAGUUGCAUUAUUAAAAUGGAAGGCUACAAUAUUUUGGACUCUUCUAACCUUCAUUUAUAGUUGCUAGUUCAAGGUUUUUUCCCAUAAGUUUAUGGCACUUCUGUGGUGGAUGGUGAUUGGGGAUAUCAGCCAUUUUAAGUACUUUGGUUCUAUUUCUUUCAAGGAUAGAGACUUUCAGAAUCUCAAGAAAUAAAAAACUAAAAGAAUGGCUUAUCUCUGACAACAUGCAGUUAAUAUAUAAAUUUCCUUUGUAACAGUCAAUAGACGGGACUGAUUUCUUAAUCGUUGAACACUACAACUGGAAUUGAUGGACUUAAUCAAUCCAAGUUGACUUUCUGCAUCACGCGUUAGGUAGACAAGCAAGCAAUAUAGAAUUUAAAUUCCAAGUUGAUAUUUUUAUACAUUUUCCUUUCUGCAGCUAUUAAUUUAUCCUCCUAGUAAUCACAAUAAAAUGGAAGAAAAUAAUCCUCUUGUGAUUGGCAUACAUCAUGAAAACAAAUGAAACCCUUGAUUAAAAUUGAAAGAAUGAUUUAGAAAACAGUUUUAUAUUUAUACACACACCCCACCAUUAUUUGGAUUCUUUUCUUGAAUGACCUAUCUAAAAGUGAGAUUGCGGUUGCUUUUCAAAAUGUAUUUUAUUUAUAAAUAUAUCAAAAUAAUAUUUUUAUUUUUAAAAAAUUAUUUUUGAUAUCAGCGGAUCAAAAUAAUCUUAAAACACUAAAAAAAUAUUAAUUUAAAGCCAAGAAAAAAUAUUUUUUUUAAUUUUUUUUUUUAAAAAUUUUUAAAACACAAAAACAAACAGAGCUGAAACAUCUUAGGUUAAUCGUAAUUUUUAAACUGCCAGGGUUCACCAGAGGCAAAGGACAAGUUAGGGGCAAGAGGGUCGACCUCAAAACAAAAUUAAGAAGAAAAAAGAAUUAAAAUAAUGAUGUUUUGACUUUUUUUUUAAAAUCUGUUUUUUAUUUUUUGUUUUUUCAAUUAAAACCAAUUUAGGCUUCAAAUCAAGCUCCCUAACAUCUAAGGCACUAGGUGCUGGGGAGAUCUGAACCGGGGGAGAGCCUACACUUCUUUUUUAAAAUCUACGAACAUAAGAAUAUAGUACAUAAAUAAUAUAUACUAUUUUCAAUUCAAAACUCUAAAUUAUUUGAUUAUAUAUGAAUCCAUCUUGACCAAAAUUUUUUUUUUGUCAUCGUUAUGUAUUUGGGUAAACUGUUGAGAAACACCUCAACCCUGGCAACAUUUUAUUCAAAUGUUGCAAGGGUUGGAACUAGAAUUAGCAAGUAGUAGCUAGGAAAAAGCUUGCAGCAGUGUAAAACACGGUUGAAUUACUCGAGACAACGAUGUGUCUCGAAAACAAAAUCUUGUGACAUAUAACAAAGGAUGCUUCCUCGAAGGAAGCCACAACUAAAAUAAAUAAUUGGCAUAUUCGAACCUUGUCCUAAACAAUAGACAAUUACGCAUGCACUGUUUAAUGACUGCCUGCCAAGAAAAAUAUUAAAAAGAAACUGACUGGUGAUCUUCAAUUAUUUUGGGUCUAAGACUUGACUUUAGGUUAACUGAUUUAUUCUUAUUAAACUCGAACUCGGGAAGAUAGAUGAUGUCGGAACGAAGCCCUUUGCCACCAACCCCUCAAAAGCUUAGGGAUCUAAGCUUGAAUAUUCAAUAACUAAUCACAAAUACUUUGAUUUAGUCAAAGGUAAACGAUGGUGAAUUCCGACAGAUUUGAGGGCAACUAAUUUGUCAUAUGUUAAUUGAAUAUUCAAUAACUAAUCACAACUAAUUUGUUUUUUUUUUUAUGAUAAAGGUAUUUUAAAUUAGUUUAUACAUUAAUUGAAAUUAAAUCUUUUUUGAACAAUAUUAAAAAUACGUAUCUCACAUUUACUUGAUAUAUAUAUUCAGAAGAAUUUAGCUAAUUCCUCUUAAUACCUUCUAUUUGAAAGAAUUCAAUAAAUUCUUCUUCAAUGUAAAUGUAAAUCGCUAUCGUAAAAUUGUAGCCCCUGCAGGACCGACGUCCAUAUAACCAUCUCAAAUUUAUUAAUAUGAUUUGAUUGAAACAAUCAAAUCAUGCAAUUUCCUAGUAAUUACAAUCACUAAUCUUCUCCUCGAGAACUGGUCCAAGCUCUUCUCCUUCAAGGCUUUAGUUUCACCUUAUAAAUAACACUUCUUUCCUUCCAAGCUUAAACCAAGAAAAGUAGCUAGAAUCAGCUCAACCAUAGGUGGACAACAAGAUGAUCAUGAAAAAAUACUCUUUAAAUCCUGUUCUAUCUUUCUUUUUCUUCCUUUCUUUGAUGAUUUUGUUCUUAGAAAUGGGGGUGGCCCAGAACACAACAUCUACAAUCCCAGUGAAUAUAGGAGUGGUUCUUGACUUGGCUUCUUUGGAUGCCAAUAUUGCUUUGAGCUGCAUCAACAUGGCCCUUUCAGACUUCUAUGCCUCUCAUGGUGACUACAACACUAGACUGGUCCUCAACACCAGGGACUCGAAGAAAGAUGUUAUUGGUGCAGCUGCUGCAGGUUCCCUCUCUGUCCCUUCUCUUGAUUAUCAUCUCUUUUCUCCAAUUAUGAAUCAUUGCUCACCAUUUCUUACUGCUAAUUAUUAACCUCCUCAUGCAACAUUUUAACAGUGGAGAUUUUUACAUUCUGUAUUAAUUAUCUGAUGAGGUUCUCGGCCGGCAAAUCUCUAGUUUUUGAUCAUAGAAAUGCAGGUCCAUUGACAUGAUAUGAGAAUAUAUAUAUAUACCCUUGCAUGCUUGUUAUAUUUUUCUUUUCAAGCUAAGGGUAUUCUCAGAAAAACCUGCACAGAUCUAGACAAACUCUCUUUCUGAUCGUGUCUACGUAAGCCAUUCACACUCGAACCGGUUUAUAUAACCAUUCUAGUAACUCAUUCAGUAACUUAAACUUUUAGAUGAUUAUUUGAUAUUUACUAGGAAUUUCUUCCUCAACCUUUCAUUGUAUUGAACCCAAAAUGACAACGUCUUGGGAAGCUUAAUUAUCGGCAAUCAACACCUUAAUUAAGACCAAGAAGGACACGUUUUAUAUAAGCCUUACUGUGAUAAUGAAGGACUAGCUGGUUUUACUUUCUGCUAGCAACGAUAAGGUGGGUCUAAACACACAAAAGUCUUCAUAAAUUGUGGCUAUCUUACUUUCCAAACCACACCAACCCACACCCCCCCCCGGGAUAUAUACAUAAAAAUUAUAGAUAUUAACUUUAAAUUUAUAAUCUCAUUAUUUAAAAAUUAGUAUAUAAUGAUUGUCUUCACAAAAGAUUUAUAAAAUAUUUAAAUUAUAGAAAAAACCUAUAUUUACUAUAAAACAACUUAAAAUUAAAAAACAUUAAGGAAAUUAAAACAAAAUCUUUAAAAAAAAUCAUAGGAAAAUAACAAAAUUGAUCCAAACAUCAACUUCCAGGUCUAAUUCUUCUACUUAUUGAAGACCCAACAAUCCAAUAAAUGAUGCAUUUCUAAGAUGACAUGAGAAAAAUUUAAACUCAAUUUAAUAGUUAAAUUUUUUAUUAUCUCAGUUUUACCACGCUAACAUAGUUUUACAUGACCAAAUUUUUUUAAGCCUAAAUAUAUAAAACCACUCCAUAAAAACAUUUUAUAGAUAAUUCACAUAGUUUACGUGAUCAUAUCCUCAUUUAAUAAUAUCAUAUCCUUACCUAAAUGUUCAUAACUUUCACUUUCUAUAAGCUCACAUCAUUAUGUGUAUGUCAUAAGUAGCUUAUCAGUGGUUCAUGCCAAAUCACUUUUGGAUUAUUAAUAAUUUAGAAUUGAACUCAUUGAAUAAUUUGUUUAACUUGUCACUGCCUUAUCAGCCACCUUCUUAUAUGUAAUUAACAGCCUGAGAUGUACUUCUUAAAAUAAAAUAUGAACAUGAUUUGGCACAGUCUAUUUUAAUUGUUUAGAACUGCUACGCCGAUCAUUGCAUUAUACUUUAAUCAUCAUUCAAUUAUGAUAAUCAUGUGGUUACCAUAUCAAUCUAUAAAUUAUUUUUGUUGAUAUAGAAGCACUAGUUAUUGCAAUAUACAUGUACACUCACCAGUUAAUUAGCCAGUUUUCCCUCAAGUUAAAACAAAAAUUCAUGCUCUGCUUAAAAAGUUUGGGUUGAUAGUGAAAGAAAUAUAUAGCUCGAUCAGCAUGGAUUGCUAGACAAAAGCAUGUUAAUUUUCUGCUGUCAUGUUAUUUUUUUUUUUAUUAACGUGAGUGUUCGGAUCAGUUUGCGCGCACCUCGACUAAUCCCACGGACCCUGAAGUUAAUGACCAUAUAAGCCUCCAAUGACCAUCAAAAUUAGUAACCAUAGAGCUCAAUCAUGAGACCACAGGGGAAGCAAACCCCUUAAUAUCAAAUUCUUAAUACUAGACCACUUACUUAAUUUUUAAGAUAAUGUUUAGUUACUAUCUUAAAAUAGAAAAAAAAAAAAAAACAACGACGUAAAGACAAAAAGAACAUAUUUCCUUGUUUUUUUUUAUUUUAAAAUAAUAAAAAUUAACUAUAAAAUUAUCCCAAAACAUUUUAUUUUAAGCAUAAGUCCCUUCUGUAUUGGAACACUGACCAAAUCCAACAUAAGGUGUAGAGCAAUUAAAAGAGAAGAGCUCACAGAUCAUAAAAUGUGACUGCAGAAUGAUCAUCCUAUAAGAAACUGUGAUUCCUUGCUUGAUCGUUCUCUGCUGCAGAAGUCAUUAAUUUUUCUACUCUCCUUCUGAAAUGCAGCCCUGGACUUGAUAAAAAAUGUGGAAGUGCAAGCAAUCUUAGGGCCAAAUACAUCAAUGCAAGCCAAUUUUGUUAUUGACCUUGGAGAAAAAGCUCAGGUACCAAUUAUAUCUUUUUCUGCAACAAGUCCUUCUCUUACUUCCAUCAGGAGUUCAUAUUUCUUGCGAGCAACACAAAAUGAUUCAGCUCAAGUGAAUGCCAUAAGUGCUAUAGUUCAAGCCUUUGGAUGGAGAGAAGCGGUGCCCAUCUACAUUGACAACGAAUAUGGAGAGGGAAUCAUACCUUAUUUAACUGAUGCUCUGCAAGAAGUUGAUGCUCGUGUGCCCUACCGUAGUGUCAUUUCUCCAUCGGCCACUGAUGAUCAAAUUGUUGAGGAGCUUUAUAAGUUGAUGACAAUGCAAACUAGAGUUUUCAUUGUGCAUAUGUAUCCCUCUCUAGGCACUCGGCUUUUCACCAAAGCAAAAGAGAUUGGAAUGAUGAGUGAAGGCUAUGUUUGGAUCAUGACUGAUGGUCUGAGUGUUGAUUUCUUGAGUUCACCAAAUCAUUCUGUCACCGAUACUAUCCAAGGAGUAUUGGGUAUUAAACCUUACGUUCCAAGAACAAAAGAGCUUGAAUAUUUUCGAGCUCGGUGGAAAAGGAAAUUCCUCCGAGAUAAUCCAGAUAAAAUUGAUGCGGAGUUGAACAUUUAUGGACUACUGGCCUAUGAUGCCACUACAGCAUUGGCCUUGGCAGUUGAGAAAGCCGGCACUACAAAUUUUGGCUUCCAAAAGGCAAAUGUCUCUAGCAACUCAUCAACAGAUCUUGCUACUCUUGGCAUCUCUUUAAAUGGUCCCAACAUUCUUCAAGCUUUAUUGACCACUAGUUUCAAAGGCCUUACAGGAGAUUACCUUCUUGUUGAUGGGCAGUUGCAAUCACCAGCUUUUCAGAUAGUUAAUGUGAACGGAAAUGGAGGAAGACGGAUUGGAUUUUGGACGCCAACAGAAGGACUUGUGAAAACACUGAAUCCGAGAAUAAAUAAACGUAUGAAUUCAACUUCUACUUCCAGAGUUUCAACUGUAAUUUUUCCUGGGGAUACAACUGCGGUUCCUAAGGGUUGGGAGAUUCCCACAAACGAGAAGAAGAUGAAAAUAGGAGUGCCUGUGAAGUAUGGCUUCAGUGAGUUUGUAGCAGUAACAAAAGAUCCUGGUUCCAACUCCACAACAUUCACCGGAUUCUGCAUAGAUGUUUUUGAUGCUGUAGUCAAAGCACUGCCUUAUGCUUUGCCUUAUGAGUACAUCCCCUUUGCCAAGCCUGAUGGCGAACCUGCUGGAACCUACAACGAUCUGGCCUAUCAAGUGUACUUGAAGGUAAGACUUGCUCUCUCCUUUUCUGUUCUUGUAACUAUAUCACAUUGAAUAUCAUUCAGAUUGAUGUAUUUUUGUUUAUUGCCAACAGAAUUAUGAUGCCGUGGUUGGAGACGUAACUAUUGUCUACAACAGGUCCUUGUACAUCGACUAUACCUUGCCUUUCACAGAAAGUGGUGUCUCCAUGAUUGUUCCGAUUGCAGACAACAACAGCAAAAACGCAUGGGUCUUCAUGAAACCUUUGACAUGGGACCUUUGGGUGACCAGUUUUUUGUUCUUUGUUUUCAUUGGAUUUGUGGUCUGGGUUCUUGAGCACAGAAUAAAUGAAGAUUUUCGAGGGUCAGCUUCAGAUCAAGCUGGCACUAGUUUCUGGUUUUCCUUCUCAACUAUGGUUUUUGCACAACGUAAUCUCCCUUCCCUUGUGAAUUCUACUUCUGCUGUUGUACUAGCACUCCAUAUAUAUAAACACCAAAUUGACUUUAUGUUUAUAUUUACAGGGGAGAGAAUGGUUAGCAACUUGUCUAGGGCGGUGAUAAUCAUCUGGUGUUUUGUUGUGUUGAUCCUCACGCAGAGUUACACCGCCAGUUUAACAAGCCUACUUACCGUCGAGCAGCUGCAGCCUACAGUUACUGAUGUGCGUGAGCUCAUUAAGAAAGGGGAGUAUGUGGGCUACCAGGAGGGUUCUUUUGUUCUAGGACUCUUGUUAGACUUGGGGUUCGACAAGUCCAAGCUCAUGGCUUAUAGUUCUGCAGAAGAAUGCCACCAUCUUUUCUCCAAAGGAAGUGGAAAUGGUGGUAUUGCUGCUGCUUUCGACGAACUGGCUUUUUUAAAGCUCAUUAUGUCAGGAUAUUGCUCCAGAUAUACCAUGAUUGAUCCUAAAUUUAAAACCGGCGGUUUUGGCUUUGUAAGCUCACUUUCCUAUCUUGUUAUUUACAUUUACUCGGUGGCUAAUAAGUGCAUAGUUUCUCAUGUAUCCUUUCUUUUUUUAACUGCAGGUCUUCCCUAAAGGUUCUCCUCUAGUGCCUGAUAUAUCUAGGGCAAUUUUAAAUGUAACCGAGGGAGAUGAAAUGAAGCAAAUAGAGGGUGCAUGGUUUGGCAAAAAAAGCACUUGUCCAGAAUCCAGCUCCUCAAUUUCAUCUAAUAGCCUUAGUCUCAAGAGUUUCUGGGGGUUAUUUUUACUUGCAGGACUAGCUGCAUUGUUAGCUCUCAUUAUCUUCAUAGUCAUGUUUGUUUACCGAGAAAGAAACGUCUUGAGGUCCUAUGAUUCCACAGCUUCAAUAUGGAGUAGAAUUGAAAACUUCUUUAGAAUUUUCAUUCAAAGGGACUCCACAUCCAGUACUUUCACACAAAGUGAUCCGAAUGAUAGAAAUAGCAGCAGUCUGCCUCCUAUGCGCGCGCCAAGCCCAUCAGCCGAUUCAGUUGACGCGGAAUAUCCUGCCAAUCGAUCUUCUGCAAGCUAUGAUUCUAGUCCAAAUAGGGAAGUACCUCUAGAGGUAGUAAUAGAUACCGUGUUGAAAUUCAAUAUGAACUAACUUAGUUUAAUAGAAUUUAGAGCUUAUAAAAGUUUUAAUAUUAGUUAAAAGAAAAAUUAAUCCUAGCUAGUUAAUAAAGAAAUCUUUAAUGAAGACGGAUUUGUAAAAAACUAAUUUAUUAUAAUUCUUGUUUAAUUAAAAUGUUAGAUUUCUUAUUAGAUUAGAAUUUUUUUUGAAUAGUUUAAUUCUUUGAUUAGCUUGGAUUUGAGGUCUAUAAAUAAACUUGUAAUCUUAAACAUUAUAUACACAAAUUGAGAGAGAUAUAAAAAGGAGCUAGAAAUGUGUAUCUUUUGAAAUUUUUUUUAAUAUCAUUAAUUUUAUCUUCUUGUUUUUUAGCUUUAUUUUUAUGUUUGUUAUUAUAAAUUAAUUAUCAUACCUUCCAUCCUUCUUUUCCAACAUACCGAUCAACUUGCUAACAGAAAUCAAUAGAGACUGACAGCUUUGGAAAUAGACCAUGAAAAUAAUUGACUUGUAGGUUAUCAUUUGACUAUGAGAGAUGAUUUUACUGUAUUAAAAAUACAUGUAAGUGAGAUGAUUUUACUAAGAGAAUUUGAAGGUAAUGAUUUUUCUUGUUUUAUUAAAAGCUAGAAAUUUUUCUCUUUGAGUUGUGUUACUGUAUUACUGAGGAGCAUCUGGCAUUACCUUCUUUCCCCUCAUAUUUGUGAUAGACUUCUUGCCUUUUUUUACAAGUCCUAACCAAGGUUAUCAAUUCCGUUUUGUUAAGUGUUUUGUUUUUUCAAUUGGAAUGGAAUGUUUCAGUUUUGGAGUAUCGUUUCGGGGUUGUACUUCCAUAUAUAUAAAUUCAAUAAACAUAAUUCAAAUUCAAGAUAAAUUAAUUAUAAAUUAUGCAAUACAAACACAAUGCCAAACAAAUAUAAUUUCAAAAUUUAAAAUAUUUCUAAAUAGUCAAGAUUAAAUAGAUCUUUAACUUAAAGUAAUUUAACUUAAAAAAAAUAUCAAAAUAUUAUGAAAGUAAAAUAUUUUAACACAAAUAUUUUAAAUAAAAAUUUAGGUCAAUGUUAUCAAGGCUAAUGGAAUUUAAAGCAUCCCUUGUUUUGCUCAAAUUCCUACAAAGUAUAAACAUGAAAAAAAAACAACAUGAAUAUAAACCAUAUAUAUUAGUGAUAAAUCUAAUUUUAAAAAAUUAAUAUCAUUGUUAAUGAAAAUAGUAAUGAUAAUUUUCAAUAUUAUUAUUAAUAUCAUUGUUAUUAAAAAUAGUAAUGAAAAAGAGCUUUUUAUAAUUGGGUGAUUUAAUUAAUUAAAUUGAACAAGGUUCAAUUUGAUUCAAUAUUUUUUCAACAGUGGAACGGAACAUGUGGAAUGAAACCGGAACAUUCCGGGCGGAAUUUAGCUGAAAAAUCCGGAACGGACCGAGAUUUAAAAUGAGAUGAAAUUUAUUCUGUUUUUUGAAUUGGUAUGGAAUGUUUCGGCCAUUCCGGGCGAAACGGAACGAAAUUGACAACCUUGGUCCUAACUUAAUAAGAACCUAGAGAUUUGCCUAGUGUUGAAGACUGCUUCAGGAAUCCGUAAGUCCUGUUUUUUCUAUUCUAUUAUCAUCAAAUAAAUGUUGAGCUAGUCUAUAGGAGCAAAUUAGUUAGUUAAGAUAUUAUUUGCUGAUUUGAUGCUUUAUUAGAGCAUUUCGGUUGAUUGUUCUUCCUAUAAAUGUAAUGAAGUGUUAAUGAAUAAAAUAGAAACUCAAGUCUGUACAACAAUAGCAGACUAUUAUCAUAAGAUUCUCUCCUGUUUUCUUUUCUUUUCUUCCUUUUAAAAUCAUUAAUUGAUAUCACAACAAUUUGUAUGAGGGGACCUACAAUGAAAGAAAGAAAAACCAAAGCUUAUCAAAUAACCCAACCCUAUUAUACUAGGUUCUAGGUGUCAGCUUUAAAUCAUAAAAGCUUUCUUCAGCAAAUAAACUUUAUUUUUUUCUCCCUAAACCACAAAUCUAGCUGGUUGUUCAACAUAAAUCUAGAAAGAAAAAUAAAAAAAAUCAAAAUCUAUUUUUUUCUCCCUAAACCAUAAAUCUAGCUAGUUGUUCAACAUCAAUCUAGAAAGAAAAAUAAAAAAAUCAAAAGCAAAAGCAAAAGAAUGCUUGUUUGUUGUUGUUUCAACAACCAUUUUCACAAGAAUCAUGUCUCUCAUAUCAGCAAAGGAUGUCUGAGACUAUCUGAAGGAAGAAUAUGUAAGAGAUGAAAGGAUACAUAAUAUGCAAAUUAGGGGUGUGCAAAAAAACCGAUAAACCGAAUAAACCGAGAAAACCGACAAAAAAUUAACCGAAAAAACCGAACCGAGAAAAAAAACCGAUUAAACCGAUUAGAAUAUUUAGAAAAAAUUCCGGUUCGGUUCGGUUUUCGGUUUUGUAAUGCAGAAACCGGUUAACCCGGACCGAACCGAACCGGUUCAAAAAAAGGUCCCUAACCACCACUAGUAUAAAUAGAAACUUUUCCCCUCUUGCCUAACCCUAACAAACUAAAGAGCACCCGCCGUCCCACCCCCUCUCCCUCUCCCUCUCCCUCUCUGCUAACCCUAACCAGAGCACCCGCCGUCCCUCUCCCUCUCCCUCUCUGCUAACCCUAACCAGAGCACCCGCCGUCCCUUUCCCUCUCCCUCUCUGCUAACCCUAACCAGAGCACCCACCCCAGUACUAGAGGCUCUCCCUCUCGCCUCUUCAAAAUAUUUUAGCCUAUCGGACACGUUCUUGAGAGAACUNNNNNNNNNNNNNNNNNNNNNNNNNNNNNNNNNNNNNNNNNNNNNNNNNNNNNNNNNNNNNNNNNNNNNNNNNNNNNNNNNNNNNNNNNNNNNNNNNNNNNNNNNNNNNNNNNNNNNNNNNNNNNNNNNNNNNNNNNNNNNNNNNNNNNNNNNNNNNNNNNNNNNNNNNNNNNNNNNNNNNNNNNNNNNNNNNNNNNNNNNNNNNNNNNNNNNNNNNNNNNNNNNNNNNNNNNNNNNNNNNNNNNNNNNNNNNNNNNNNNNNNNNNNNNNNNNNNNNNNNNNNNNNNNNNNNNNNNNNNNNNNNNNNNNNNNNNNNNNNNNNNNNNNNNNNNNNNNNNNNUUAGGAGAUUGAAUCCACCCAGGUAUGUAUUAUGCAGAUUCGUCAUCUUCAUUUUUUAAUUUUCUAAGUGAAAGUGACCUUAAAUUUUUCCCAUCAAGGUGUUAGUUAAAAUAACUUUGGUGCGUGCACAUUCUAAUUUUCUUGAUUAUCCCGAUGUGCUCUGUAUAUAAUUCCUUUUGGUGUCUUGCAGGUUUUGUUAUUGAUGCAGGACCUUACUGUUAACUUGUCUAGCCCUGAUUUUGAGCCAUAUAUAAGUGUUAAUGUUUUGUAAGUAUGUUCAUAGCAGCUCUUACCAGCAUGCAUGCAUAUUGCCACUUAUUUUGGCUUAUUGAAAGAAUUCGUAAAUGUGAUGAUAUAUUGCAACCAUAAUCUGAGUAUUAUGGCAAAGCUGAGGUUUCAUUCAAUGCUAAAGUUUCAACAUGUUAUAUUUUGAAGUGAAAACAGAUUUACAUCCAUUUUGUUCAGUUCUUUUUCUCUUUUUUUUAUGUCAAGGUUGUGAUUGAUAAUGAAGCUUGCAAGAAUGCUACUGUCAUAAGGGUAAGAGUUUUGGUGUCCUUUUUUGGUGGGUGUGUGCUCUUCAGUCUUGACCAUCAUUCUUGUUGUUUUUUGGGUACUAAAUAUUUCAUUGUGUUACAGGUUGAUAGUGCUAACAAACAUGGAAUACUUCUUGAAGUUGAUAGUGCUAACAAAAUGUGUUUAGGGAUGACCGCUUUUGCAAUUGAUUUUUUGGCUCAUGGAUUAUUUUGUAGGAAUAUUAUAUCAAGCAUAUUGAUGAGUCCCCUGUAAAAUCAGAGGCUGAGAGACAAAGGAUUAUACAAUGUCUUGAAGCAGCUACUGAAAGAAGAGUAUCCGAGGUGAGUGAACUAUGGUACCUUCAAAUCUGAGAUCGUUCUUAAGGUUUACUCAUAAAACUCUCCUUGUUUUUACCAAAAUCAUGCAUCCAGCCACUAUGAUUUCAAGCUGUUCUGUGUUCCUUUCCUUGCUAUCAAAAUGCAGAUCUAUCAUAUAAUUGUAUUGAUUAUGUUGUUACUUGGGCAAUGGUGAGUUGGGUGAAGUUUAUAUACGGAAGAGGUGAUUUUAUUGCAAUGAUAAUGACUGCAUGUUAAGCUAUGACUGGUGUCACUCACUAGUUAAAACACUCUUGCUAUUUUAUAUUUCAUGCCUUAUGUUUAGUUUCUUCUUUUUUGGUGUUAGAUGAUGAUGCAUUAAUUCUGUUAGGAAUUCACUCGCAUGCUUGUGCAGAAUGCUCUAUUCAAAGGACAGCUUGCUAUUGGGUUUUCUUGGUGUACUAAUAUACAACUUGUUGGGAACAACUGAUAGUAUGAUAGCAAAGGUUUAUUAGAUAUCUUUUGUGUUUUAUAAUAAUGGUAUUUGUUGUUUUUUUCUUUAAGCCCUUUGAAGGCAAUGGUUUGUAAUUUGAAUUUUAACUAUUAGUGUGUGAUUGUGAGUGUGUUAUUUAAAUUUUUUGAAAGCAGAAAAAUAUUAGGAAGGUAAAAAAUAAAUUGAAUACAAGAUUAACAUUGAUAAUUUCAUAUAAAUGAAUAUUCAGUGGCCAAAAAACUUAUAAACAUAAGAGUGACUAACAAUUUAAUACAAAUGAAUAUUUAGAGGUAAAAAAAUUAAAUAUACUUUUGGAUCUUCAAAGAAAAUGAGACAAUAUCAACAUUAAUUGCAAGCCCAUCAAAAAUCCAUUAAAAGCCCAUCAUAAAGCCCAUUACGAAGCCCAAAAAAAUGCAUAUAGGUUUUUUCGGUUUUGGGCAUCAAAAACCGAACCGAAACCGAACCGAAACCGGUCGGUUUGGGCCGGUUUCGGUUCGGUUUCGGGUCUGUUUUUUUUUUCGGUUUGGUUGAUUUUUAUGGGUAAAAACCGAACCGAAAAUGAUCACCCCUAAUGCAAAUACUGAAUUUAAUAAGAGAAUUUGAGCCGCAAAGAAUGAAAGAAUUUGAGACUAUCAAAGAGCACUCAAAUAAAUUACUUGUUAUUGUUAACAAGGUUAAAUUACUUGGUACUACAUCCACAUACUCUAGAAUUAUUGAGAAAAUAUUGGUUACAGUGCCUGAAAGAUAUGAAGAAUCAAUCACAACUUUGGAGAACAUAAAAGAUCUAUCCAAAAUAAUAAUGAUACAACUUUUGAAUGCCCUGUAAGCUCAAGAACAACGAAGGCUUAUGAGGCAAGAUCGUUUUGUAAAAGGAGCUCUACCAAUCAAGCAUCAAGAUUCUGAAAAGGAUUAGAAGAAAUUCUUCAAGAAAAAUCAGGCUUCAAGCAGUAAAAUUAAUACUAACCAGUUUCAAAAUAAGGAAAAAUCUUUGAAAAAGGGUUAUCCACCAUGUCAACAAUGUGGCAAGACAUAUCAUCCACAUUCAAGUGCUGGAAAAGACCAGAUGCAAAAUAAGGAAAAAUCUUUGAAAAAUGGUUAUCCACCAUGUCAACAAUAUGGCAAGACAGAUCAUCCACAUUCAAGUGCUGGAAAAGACCAGAUGCAAGGUGCAACAAGUGCAAUCAACUUGGGCAUGAAGUUGUCAUUUCCAAAACAAAACCUCAAAAAUAGGAGGCCAAUGCUCAAGUUGUUGACCAAGGUGAUGAAGAUCAAAUGUUUGUGGUUACUUGUUUUUCAACUAGAGACUCCUCAAAUCAUUAGCUCAUUGACAGUGCUUGCACAAAUUACAUGACUUUGACAAGAGUCUUUUCAGUACAUUGCAACCUACAAGAAUUUCAAAGGUUUGAAUUGGGAAUGGUGAUUAUAUAGCAACAAAGGGAAAAAGAGCCAUUGCAAAAUAAGUUGCAUGUUAGAGAGUAGGUGGUUCCAGUUCUAAUGGAUUGGAUUUGAUAGUUGGCUGCUCAUUUGUUGUAGGUGUAAAAAGAUUUGUUUACAUCUCUGCUACUGACUUUGGCUUGGUCAAUUACUUGCUGCAAGGUUAUUAUGAGGGAAAUUUACUAAUUUUCAUUACUGCUUAUUUCGAGUGUUGUAUCUAGAAUCAUGUCACGUUAAUGCUGAUGGCUGGCAUAACACAUCUUCAUCUUCAUUUUUCUGGAAACAAGGACUGUUUUCUAAAGCUUUAUAAAAACCAGUUUGUAUUAUACGUAGAUACAGUUUGAUUUUUAUAAUACAUUGUUUGAUAUGAAAUAGUUAUAUCACAAGAAGAAUCAACACUUUCAAGUGUGCCUUGAUAUUUACUUUUCCCUUUUCUUAUCAUUCUUACCUUAUGUAAAUUUUUUACUUGUGGUUUGUUUGAAGUAGAAGGUUGCUGAAACAGAGUUGUUGUGAUGUUUUGAAAUAAAAUGAGUAGGAAAAGGCAAUAAAGCCCUUGAAGGCUUAAAAAUGGAUAUAAAUGAAUAAAGGGUAUUGUAGUAAUUAAACAAAGAGUUGAUAAAUAUAAAUAGAAAAAAAAAGAAAAAGAAGAGAGGUGUGUUCUAAGAGUGAAAAACUGACGGGAGAAGAGAAGAAAAGGGGAAGAAGAAGAAAGAAAAGAAGGAAAGAUAAGGGAAGGAGAAGAGAGUUGGAGAAAAUAAGUUUAAAGGUAAAAUUAUGUAUAAAUGUGUGUUCUUUAAGCUUUAAAUUUCUAUUUUGAUAAAUGUUAGGGUUUUGAAGAUUGUGUUUUGGGUUUAUUGAUGAAUUGAUUUGAAUGUUAUAGGUUGAUUGUUAUGGGUAAUGAGUUGUUUAGUUGAUUUUGGAAGAUUUUAGGUAAAGAUGAUGAUUUUGAGUUAUGAUUUGUGUAAAUGGUGAAUUUUGAGUUAGAAAUCAGGAGAUAAUAGUAGGUUUUCUAUGGAAAUUCUGGGUUUGAGGUUGAAGAUGAUGAAAUUUCACUUUGGUCCCUCAAUUUGUGAAAAUUACAAUUUGGUCCCUCACUUUGGAAAAAUUAUAGAUUGGUCCCUGGAACAUAAUCCGAGAUUCUGGACAGAAUUAAAGAUGAAUUAUGGGCAUAAUUCCAGUAUAGUUAUGGAUUUAUAACACUUUCAAUUUGGUCCUCCCAUUUGACAAAAAUUACAAUUUGACCCUAAAAAUUUGGAAACAUUCCAGAAUGGUCCCUGGAGCAUGAUUAGAGAUUCUGGAUAGAAAUGAGGAUGAAUUAUGGGCAGAAUUCCAGUAUAGUUAUGAUUUUAUAACACUUUCAAUUUGGUCCUCCCAUUUGACAAAACUUAUAAUUUGACCCUAAAAAUUUGGAAAAAUUCCAGAAUGGUCCCUGGAGCAUAAUUAGAGAUUCUGGACAAAAAUGAGGAUGAAUUAUGGGCAAAAUUAUAGUAUAGUCAUGAAUUUAUGGUCCCUGGAGCAUAAUUAGAGAUUCUGGACAGAAAUGAGGAUGAAUUAUGGGCAAAAUUAUAGUAUAGUCAUGAAUUUAUGACAUUUUUAGUUUGGUCUUUCAAUUUGACAAAAGUUUCAAUUUGAACCUUAAAAAUAUGAUAAAUUCCAGAUUGGUCCCUAGCUGUAAUAUUAGCUUUUGCAUAUUGGUUUGAUGAAUAAAUGAGGGUUAUUUAAUGAAUUAUUAUCAAUUUUAUUAUUUGUUUUAUUAUGGAUUAGAUUUCAGGAAAACCGUUUAAUUUUGGGUUUUUAGGAAAAAUUACUAGUUUGGUUUAAAAACAUAUAGGGUUAUGGAAUAAACCUUUAGUUAAGUGUAUUAAAUAGGUUGUAUGUUCUUUUGAGUUAUUUUUGAAUAUGACUCCUUUUUAUUCAGAUAAUCCUGAUAUUCUACCGGCGGAACAUUAGUAGGAUUUACUUCGGUAUCUGCUUUCAAGUUCUGUUUUCUUUCGAGUCAGGUGAGUGGAUAAUUUUCCAUAUGCAUGAGAAAUAUUAAAAAUAUUUGAUUUGUUAAUAUGAAUUGGAUCAUGCUUUUUGAUAAUAUAUAUGUUGAUUAUUAUUCUUGUUACGAUAAAGCAUGAUCAAAUGUUGAAUCUGAAUUCUUGAUAUGAACCAAUAUGUAUUUUGAAUUGACUUCUGAAUUGACAACUCCUCAUUUGAUUGAUGUCAUGAGUUGUGCCUUGAGAUAUGAAUAUGUUUGUUUGAUUAUGAUUAUGAACCUAAGGUAUGCUAGUUAGAAUACUCAUGCUAACAGGGUAGUGUUAGUCUUUGUGCACAUCGUAUCUGAACCCUAGUUGGUCGAGGGAGUCACCAACCUGUGUGGACUGAUCAUCCCACAGUACGGAGCCUCAUGCUCAUUGCAUUUUGACUUUCUGACGAGCUUUACCUUAUGAUAUUCUUGUUAUGGUCUAUUUGAGAAACCUUCCUAUAAGAACCUAGAGCCAUAAUUGUAUAUAUAUUCUCAUUGUUGUAUUACCUCGUGUGUGUAUAUUGAACGUUAUCUACUCACUGAGUUGUUGAACUCACCCUCUCAUUAUUUAUCUUUUCAGGCUUAUAGCUUGUUAGCGGGUUACUUUUGUUGAACCUUCAGAACCUGCUCUUUUGUUGAAAUUAGUACUUUUUCUUUAUGUCUAGUUAGUGCUCCAGAACUAUGAAUUUGUAUUAACUCUUGUAUUAAGACAAUCGAAUUAUAUUAUGAAGUUAAUUUUGUUAUUAAUGAUGUGUUGAACUCUGAUUGAGUUGUUUAAAGGAUAAGUUUGUAUGUAAGUUUGGGUUCGCAUAGGUAUAGAAUCUUGGAGGGGAAUCUUGCCUAUGUGCAGGUCAUGGAUCCGGGAUUCGGGUCGUGAUAGUUGUUGACCAAGUUUGCAUAUGGAGGUAAUUUUUUUCUUUCCAUUAUUGUAAUUUAUACCUUUUAUAUAUUUGUCAUUCAUUUUACUCUUCUUAGCAACUGAAAUAUGAGAAAGCUGUCCUAAAACUUUUGAAUUUGGAAAACUGUAAAAUUUCCUUAAUGUAAAAUGCUAUUAUGAUAUAUUGGUUUCAUCCUUUAUAUCUUAGUACUCUUUUCAUUGCAUUUAAUCAUCAAAAUCUUGCAGUUUAGAGUGCUAGUGUAUGUAUUUGUUAGUAUCGUGGGUAAAUGUGUUUUUUCGUAGCUGACAGUGUAUUGCUAUCUUAUAUUAUGGAUUAUAGUAACCGUAAAUCUGAUGAAAUAUAUAUGUUUUGUUUCCUUGUUUAGGAGUGGUUCUCCGGACUGGGUUUAUUUAUGAAACUCGCAAUGUUGGAAGUGUGAAGUUACCUCUUGGUGUAAUCGGUUCUCCGUUGGAGAUGGUAAGUUGUGCAUCCUUGUAUAUUUACCUAGAUUACUAGGUUAUCCCAAACAACACUUGAAUGUCGUACAUCCAAGCUUGAAGCUUUUGGCAAAUUUAGGUUAGCCAAUCAAAGUCAUUGCCUUUGCAAUCCCCCCCACCCUGUGAUGACUUCUUAAUUUCUCAAUAUUUAUGGUCCUCAUCUAUGCACCUUGCAAUUCAUUAAUAGUUUUAGCCCUUCAGCGCUUGAGGAGUCUAGUUUAACACUUUAAGGGGAUAAGUGGAGAUCGCAUCUUGUCUUUUAGGAGCAUGCUAUGAUUCUACUCACCAGAAAUCUAGUUUUGAGGAGUGUUCUGUUGCCAUGUAAUCAUUUACAUGGGAGAAAUGCUUGAAAUGCGACGAGGAGGAUUCACUCAUAUCAUAUUGUAAUCUUGUAAUUUGGAGGUUCAUUGUAAUUUAUUAAUGGCAAUCUCACUGCAGGUUCUCCAACAUGCAAAACCACUUAAACAAUUUCCCCUUGUUGGACCCUUGUUCACUCCCCCUGUCAAUGUUACUACCGUGAUGAAAGUUGCAGUAAGGGCAGCAACUGAUCCAAUUUUCCCUCCCGGCAUUAUGGAUGUCUAUGGAAUACUGCGUUAUAGCCAGCAACAAAGAGCAACAUAGAUUUGUUGAUAUCGAGAGUUCAUUUGUUUUCUUCACCAAUAUAGAGUUCAUCAUCAAUAUCAAGAUUUCAUCUGUUUUCUUCUUCUUUGUAAGUUCUCAAAAUGUUAGCUGUUGGAGUUGAACUCGCAGCAUUUUGUGAAC
rnacentral:lncRNA from 1 species